rnacentral:lncRNA from 1 species
UUAGUUUAACUUGAUUGGUAGUGUAAAAACCUAAAACAGUUUAAACUAAAUACUGAAUCGCACAUAAGAAAAUGUUUUGUAAUGAUUUUAGAGCUAACAUGAAACCGAUUAUGAUGGUACAACUAGGUAUACCUAACUAAGUAUAAUUUAGAUGAUUAAUAAAAUCGUAUUAAUUUGAUCAUUUUUAUUUUGGAAUAAAAAUGUUCAAUCUGAAAUUGAAAAUUCAUUUUUUUUUAAAAGUGAAGGUAGAAUUUGUAUUCGUUAAGAAUAUAUAAUAUUGAUUGGAUUGUAGCUGUAGAAAAUUUACUUUAAAAUUUAGUUUGUAGGAUUUUUUUAUUUAACUUUAAAAGAUAUACCUUUAAAAUUUUCUACAGUUAAAAAGAUGGAGUUUUAGAAAAUAAAAAUUUUAUAACUAUUUUUUGUGUUAUUUGGCUGUAGUUUUAUUUUUUUUGCUGUAACUUUAAAAAUUAAUAUAAAUCAUGAUUGGUAAUAUUUAAGGUUGUAGAUGAAAAUUAAAGUUAAAGUCUCCUCGUACCGUCCAACGAAUCACUCCUAAUAUGUGAUAUUAACUGAAAUAAUUUUAUUAAAUUUUAUAUAUUCUCAGUUAAAUGAUAAUCUCGAAAUUGACAAACAGAAUAUCGUUUCUUUAAUAGCUAAUCAAAGUUUAAACCAACUGCUAAUCAGAUUCAUUUUAUUAUAAUUUUUAUUUAUUUUACACCAAUUUAAUACAUUUUUUUGUCAAACCCACCAAUUUAAUACUUAUAUUUGAAACUUAUAUAACUGACUAAACCGCAUACGAGGAAAUGGGUAUCUAGUGAUUUUCUUAAAUGAGCAACAUCCCAAAAUUGAAGGUAUUUGUACUUCCAAAGAAUUUAAAACUUUGUAUAUCAUAAAAUAAUUCAUGGUCAACUACGUCUAUGAGUAAGAAAAAAAAUAUUAUAGUCGAACAGCUGUUUUUUUUUUUUUGAGAAAAUAGUUGAACAGCUGUUUUCAGGUAAUACAACAAAACGAAGCAUGCAUCCUGUCCUAGUAAUACCUAAACGAGUACAAUAAAAGUUAGUAAAAAGAGGAAAAAAUAAUGAAGAUUCCAAAAACGGCGUCAUUCAAGGGAUAAUAUACAGAAAUAGCAAAUGAAAUAUCUCAUAUAGAGUUGCAUAUAAAUGGCCGUUUAGAACUUGCACUCUAUCCUUCUUCAUCAGCAGCUUCAACGCUCAUUCCACUCCUUGCCCUCUCUACAUUUUCCCCACAAAUAAAGGAAGAUCAUUGUAUAUUCAUGUAAGUCUCUCUUCAUUUAUGUUUUAGAUGUUUUAGAUGGUUAUGUGGUUCUUUCUCUUCAUUCUUCUGUUUGAAAAUCUACUAUCAGUCAGAUUAUUCGGAUGAUCGAGUUUUAGACUAUAACUAGUAAAUCAAACAACCAAUAAAUAGAAUUGAAGGGAAUGAAAUAAAAUGAAUGAAAUGUAGUGGAAAAAUGGUCGGAUGAAAUAAAAUUAUUCUUAUGGAAUGAAAUAAAAUUAUUCAGAUGAUCGAGUUUUAUAUUACAUUCCAUUCAUCUUAUUAAAUUCCUCUUCUGUUUUGUUUUAAUUGAUAAUUUAAAUCAGUAACAACUUAUCCACAACAUUCAGGAGUGAUUUCUUUUUUAAGUUGAUAGUUAAGAGAUCCCACACAUGUUUCAUUCUACCUGAUUCAUAUAAGUCGAUCUUAUAACGCCCAAAAAUGCUACUAAAAGUUACUAAUAUUAAUCCUGUGAUGAAAUUACAGAGGUGAAUAAGAAUGCCAGGGGAUCAGUUACAAGUGUUGAAUGCACUUGAUGUAGCCAAGACGCAAUGGUACCAUUUCACGGCGAUUGUAAUCGCCGGAAUGGGAUUCUUCACCGACGCUUACGAUCUCUUUUGCAUCUCUCUCGUUACAAAGCUCCUGGGCCGCAUUUACUACCACGUUCCAGGCUCCAAGGUGCCUGGGACUCUCCCUCCCAACGUUUCCGCCGCCGUCAACGGCGUUGCCUUCUGUGGGACCCUCACCGGUCAACUCUUUUUCGGGUGGCUUGGUGAUAAGCUCGGGAGGAAGAAAGUUUACGGUAUGACGCUGAUGAUCAUGAUCCUUUGCUCUGUAGCCUCUGGUCUCUCUUUCGGACACAAGCCAAAAUCCGUGAUGGCCACGCUAUGUUUCUUUAGGUUUUGGCUUGGGUUUGGGAUUGGGGGUGACUAUCCUUUGUCCGCUACGAUCAUGUCUGAAUACGCUAACAAGAAGACUCGUGGUGCGUUUAUCGCUGCGGUUUUUGCCAUGCAAGGGUUUGGGAUUAUGGCUGGUGGCAUUUUCGCUAUUAUUAUUUCAGCUGUUUUUGAAGCUAAGUUCCCUGCUCCUACCUAUGCGGAAGAUGCCUUGCGAUCCACGGUACCACAAGCAGAUUUUGUAUGGCGUAUAAUCCUGAUGUUUGGUGCUCUUCCUGCGGCAAUGACGUUUUACUCUAGGUCAAAGAUGCCUGAAACCGCGAGAUACACAGCUUUGGUUGCUAAAGACGCAAAGCAAGCUGCUUCAGAUAUGGCUAGGGUUUUGCAAGUGGAGAUAGAGGCGGAGCAGGGGAUAGUGGAAUAUAUCUCAAAUGAUAAGUCUAAAUCAUAUUCCUUGUUCUCCAAGGAAUUCAUGAAACGUCAUGGACUUCAUUUGCUGGGGACUGCAUCAACAUGGUUCCUUCUCGACAUCGCUUUCUACAGUUCAAACCUUUUCCAGAAAGAUAUUUUCAGUGCAAUUGGCUGGAUACCUCCGGCUCAAACCAUGAGCGCGAUUCAAGAAGUUUUCAAGAUCGCACGAGCGCAAACACUCAUUGCCUUGUGUAGCACGAUGCCUGGUUACUGGUUCACAGUUGCUUUCAUCGACGUCAUUGGAAGAUUUGCUAUACAGCUGAUGGGAUUCUUCUUCAUGACGGUCUUUAUGUUUGCUCUAGCUAUUCCUUACGACCACUGGACUCACAAGGAGAACCGAAUUGGAUUCGUAGUCAUGUACUCGUUAACAUUCUUUUUUGCCAACUUUGGACCUAAUGUUACAACCUUUGUUGUACCGGCUGAGAUAUUUCCGGCCCGGUUCAGAUCCACAUGCCAUGGUAUCUCUGCAGCAUCAGGAAAAUUGGGUGCAAUUGUUGGUGCUUUUGGGUUUUUGUACUUGGCUCAAAGUCCAGAUAAGAACAAGACAAGUGCAGGAUAUCCUCCAGGGAUUGGUGUCAAGAACUCGCUUAUCAUGUUAGGUGUGGUUAGCUUUUUGGGUAUUCUCUUCACUUUCUUGGUGCCUGAAGCUAAAGGUAAGUCGCUUGAAGAAAUAUCUGGUGAAAAUGGAGACAAUCAUGAGAACACCAACAAUGGGAAUAGAACGGUCCCAAUUGUUUAGGUGAUAAUACACCUUUUGUUAUUCUUAUUUUUUUUUCUUCUCUCAAGUUUUUUUGUGUGUGCGCGGGUGAUCUAUUGAUGUUUAAAUAAAGUGUUACAGAAAACCAAAACAUUCACGAAUCGGUUUAAGCUCGAUUUCUAAAUUGGACAAGAGCUGAUCUUAUCCUUUUCACUGUUUAUUUGGGCUUAACAUAUAUUGGAUUAUUUUUCCUCCCCGAGUUCUGUUUGUAAACUAGCCCACUGGGCUUUAUAAUUAAUAUGAAGUGGACCACAAAAAGAAACGUUUUUAAAAAUGCUCUAGUAAUAGUAGUCAACCUUCAUAACUAAUGAGAAUGACCAAUUAUAUACAGAAAACUAGGUAGAAAUCAAAUAAUUUUAAUAUAUCAAUAAAUAACAGUAUACUAUAAAUCAAUGAUAAAAAUGUUGACAAAAAAACAGUAUAUAUAAAAACUACACAUAUAAUGUAUAUAGAUAUUAAUGUGUUUAAUUUUUUAUAAGUAAAUGUGAUUAACUAACUAUCUAAUAAAAUCCAAGACAUACAUCAUAAACUGCAGCGUCAGAUAUAUAUAUAUAUAUAUAUAUUAUAAUAUUAUCUUUAAAAAAAAUCUUGUCAUUAAAAUUAAAAACAUGAGAAAAUAUAAAAAAUAAAGAGAGAAAUUUGUUUCUCUUAUAAGAGAUUUCUUAUGAGAUUUUUUUUUUUCAAUUAAGAAAUGUAUCUGAAACUUGUUUGCUUCGUGUUCAGUGUCCUCCUCUAAACUGUCUUAUUUGGUAGCACUCGCACAAGGAAAUGAACAUAUUUUAUUUCUUAUCUCCACUGAUAAAAAGGACCAGAAGUAUUUGCUUCGGUAAUAUCUGCAACUCUUCAGACCUCUGUUCUCCUGGGUGUGUGUUCUACUUUGAUUCUCGUCUUUUAAAAAAUGUUAUCUUUCAAUUGCCAAACAGUUCAAUUUUUUUUUUUCCGGGUUAGAUUUUGUAUCCUAAGAUUCGAUACUUGUUUUGAGACGCUUAGGUUCAAUCUUAGCUAGGGGCUGCAAAUGAUUUGCAUCUUUAUGAUUGAAAAGGAGCUUCCUUUAGUGAACCCAUUUUGAAAGAAGUUUCAUUUUGAGAAACCCAGAACGUUUUAAUGUAAAGAUUGGCUUUUAAAUAUCUGAAUCUGUUCGAAAGUUAGUUUCCUGUAGGAAGGAGUAAGGUUCCAAGACCAACCAAGAGGAGAAUUUUAUUAAUAAUACUUGUUCUGUGGUUUGUUGUGAUGUUUAUAAUAAGGCACUAAUGAUGAUGAAACGAUCUUAUCUACUGCAGAUUAUUGUUCAAUACACUAGACUACUGGGAGGUGGCUGUAAGGUUUAAUGGGCAUUGAAGGUGGGAACACAAGUUCGAAAUCUGGAAAUGUGGACAAGUUCUUGUCACCUCCGCCAGGUUUUGAAGGUUGUUCCAAAUCUGUAAAGGUGGACAAGUUGUUGUCACCUCCACCAGGCUUUGAAGGUGUGAACAGAAGUUCGAAAUCUGGAAAUGUAGACAAGUUCUUGUCACCUCCGCCAGGCUUUGAAGGUGUGAACAGAAGUUCGAAAUCUGGAAAUGUAGACAAGUUCUUGUCACCUCCGCCAGGUUUUGAGUCUCAAGCAAGGUUUGUGCUUAGGAAGGUACAAGAGAAGACAAAUGGAUUCCGUCCAGGAGAUGCAGAUAGUUUCCAGAAGCUUGUUAACAGCCGACCGUGGAUUGUGCAUGAUCAUACAACUCCCAGCUCAGGGGUCUUAAAGCCAACGAAACCUCAGGUCCCAUUACUAUCAUACUAUGUCUAACUUCUUUCCUGUCUUUUAACUUAUUAUGCUCUUGUGGUGAAUGGUAUGUGGAUCUGUUUUCUUAUCAUUUCUCAGUUCUUUUGUCUGCCUAAUACAAUCAUAUGGUUGUGAAUAGACACUAGGCUUGAUGUAUAAGAUGUUGGUUAAGGUAGAGUUUUUCUUACUGUGGAUUCCAUAUCCCUACUAUCCCCUUAUGGUUUUAGUUACUUUAAUGUCUGCAAAAAUGAUUUAGUGGAGCUUGAUGUGCCAAUUCAGAUAGCUAUACUAUGCUUUUAGAUGUAUGAGAAUGUAGGUAUCAAGAAUGUAUGUUGAGUCUUUGCUAAAGUAAUUACUAAUUCAUUUCACAGGUACAUCCAAGACGGCUACCGAGAGUCUCCAAGAAGGUUGUCCUUGAGGAAGCUCCAGUGUUUAACCCAACCGAGAAGGUUAGUUUUGCUUUGCUUUGCUUUGAUGGAAAGAAAAAUUAGGGUAUUAAAUUGCUUUAGUCUUCUUUGGUAAUAUGUUACUUUUUCUCUAACCUAGAGUUACCGAAUGUUCAGGAAUACAAUGACACACUAUCUUACAUUGCAAGCUUGCGUGACAUAUCUGAACCUCAUGGAAUCUGUUGUGUGGUUCCUCCUCCUUCAUGGGAUCCUCCAUGUCUUCUUGGCGAGAGAAAAAUAUGGGAGGGAUCCAGAUUUUUCACUCAAGUCCAGAUCUUUGAUGGAGUUCAGACCGAGGACCCAAAGAUCAAAAAGGAGACUGAUGCUGAUAGUGAUGAUGAUGAUACGUUUCACAAGGUUAAGUUCUGUAGAACAGAACUUGGUAAUGAGUAUACUUUGGAGACGUUCAAGAACUUUGCAGAUUCAUACUUGGAGAGCCAUUUUCGCGUAAAGGAGAAGGUUCUGGCUUCCAUGUAUUCAUCUCCAUCCGUAGACGCAUGGCCAACGGUGGCAGACGUUGAGAAAGAGUUUAGAAAACUUCUUGAGAAUCCAUUUGUUGAACUAGGGGUAAUGUUAAAAAAUCAAGUUUAUUGCUUUUAUAUAUACUGUAUAUGAAACUGGCUAAGGUACUAACUCGUGGUGUAAAAUUAGGUGCUUUAUGGGAAUAAUAUAGAUACCAAAACGUUUGGCAGUGGAUUUCCUUUAUCUGGAUCAUCUGAAUCUUGCAAGUACAAAACAUCAGGUUGGAAUCUGAACAACACAGCGAAGCUUCCUGGCUCUCUUCUAACGUUUGACGACUGUGAAUCAGUUUGUGUUCCUCGCUUAAGUGUGGGAAUGUGCUUGUCUUCCCAGUUGUGGGUAAGUUUUAAUGUUCAUGUCAAGCUGUGUUGUCAUUUUCUGUCAGAAAUAGCAUCUAUUCUGCAAGCUAUCACUAUACUUUUUUUCUCAGUGUUCUAAAAGUCGGUCUAGGCGGCAAACUGGUUCUAAACGAAACGAGUUUUCAAAAACGAUUAAGAAAAAGAAAGGAAAAUCGGUCUAGAUGCUCAAAAAAUGGGUCUACCGCCUACCAGUUUCUUGAACAUUGGUUGUUCUUGCAUUGGUUGUUCUUGCAGCGUUUUUAAGUUUUGCAAUCUAAUUUGCUUCUAUUGUCUCGUGGAAUAUAUGAUGCUGAACAGAAAUCUGAGAAGGAGAGACUCUACUCGCUCUGCUAUCUGCAUACAGGCGCUCCUAGAGUGUGGUAUUCUGUUGCAGGGUGUCAUCGUUAUAAGUUCAAGGCUUUCAUGGAGAGCUUUGUCCCUAAGGUGUCAGGAGAACAGUCAAAGAGGAGUUAUGAUUCUGUAAGUAGUUAAAAGUCACUACGCAUCUAUGCAAGUCACUCUUUUUCAAAACUCAGAAAGAAAACACAAGGGAAGCUAAUUAAUUUGGCAGGUGAUGGCAAUGUCUCCAUAUGCGUUGCACAUGGAAGGUAUACCAGUGACCCGGUGUGUCCAGAACCGUGGACAGUAUGUUAUAUUGUUUCCAGGGACGUAUUACUCUGCCGUUGACUGUGGCUUUAACUGUCUGGAGAUAGCAAAUUUCGCUACCCUUGAUUGGUUACCCCAUAAGGAAAUUGAUGCUCUGCAGAAUCAAGAGAAGAAACGAAAAUCGUUAUUAUCGUAUGACAAGGUACUGUUUGGAGCUGCUAGUGAAGCUGUGAAAUGCCUUAAGGAAUACUCUUUGACCAAGAAGGAAACAUCAGGCAAUAUGAGAUGGUUUAAUGCUUGUGGUAAGGAGGGGAUGUUCUCCAACACUGUUAAGGUAUGCUCACCCUUCUUCUUUGCUUGUCUUAGGAACUUGCUCACUACCUUCUUCUCUUUUUAUGUAGUCACGGGUCAAGAAGGAGAAAAGCAGAGUUCAGUACCUUAGUGGUCCACUAAAACCACAAAGGAUGAAGGAGAGUUUUGAUGAUGUGAGCAAGAGGGCAUGCUGUGUAUGCUUUGUGGAUUUGCAUCUUUCCGCUGUGCAGUGUUCAUGUUCUGCUGACCGUUACUCGUGUCUGAGCCACAUGAAGAAUCUCUGUGCCUGUCCGUAUGACAAGAAGAGUUUUCUGUAUAGGUACACCAUCGAUGAGCUGAACAUUCUUGCAGAGGCGUUGGAACAACGUAAGCUCAGCUGUAUGUUCAAAUGGGGAAACAUAGAUGGCAACUAUUGUGCUUCUCCUGCCAUCAGAAGUUCACAACCUGGUGGGGACAAAGGCAAGACAACAGAUGAGGUUAUGCAAGAUGUUGAAACUGGGGGUAAGGAGCAGAUGAAGGCAAGAGGGAAAGUGAGAUCAAUCAUAGAGAUAAUGAAUGUCAAAGAGGAAAAUGAUAAUGAGUCAGGGCCUGUGGACCCUAAACCCUUGUUCUAAUAAAUCAAUCAGGCCAUGGGAUUCUUCUGCUGUCAACAUGGCAAAGAAGCAGAAGGAGGGAUGGAUAUAAAAGGAAUGUUUUGGUUUUAAGUAGUUUAGUCAAAGGAGUAGAUUGGUUUGCAAAUUUGCACCAUUAUGUUAGCCACAAAAAAAAAUUUAAACCCUAGAAGUACAACUCUAAAGUCAAAUUUGUUUGAAAACAGUUCUGUUUGCUUAAAAAUAUUUUUAUAUAUUUUUCUUAUAAAAUUUAUUAAUAUAUUACGAGAAUUAUAUAUUCUAGCCAAUCCUGUUUGCCAAGAAGGGAAACCACAAGCUGCUGUUGACCAUACCGUACACACUGGAACUUUCACGGGACAGUCACAGAUAAUCCCUUGACUAGUGAAUAGUGAUGAUGAAAUUGACACAGUGACACUGGUCUGUCUACCUGACUUUCAUUCGAAGUCUUAAUUAUCUCUGUUUCUUGGUUUUUUGGUAUGUUUUAUGCAUUUCGUACUUAACUCUUUAUCUCUCAGUUUUUGAUGAACAAGUGCAUGACUGCAGAUGAAAUGACAUAUAUUAAUCUUGGGCUGAAUCAUGAACGGUACACUGGCUAUAUUGGGCCGUCAGCUAGAAGGAUAUGGGAUGCUGUAUACUCCGAGAAAUGUCCCAAAUGUAAGCAACACUUACUCCAUUCUUCUUUAGUUUCUUUAUACCCUUAUUUUCCAAGUGGCUGAUUAAUUCAUAUUGGAUUCCUAACAACCCCUGUAAUAUACUGGCUUCUAUGUGAUGAGCAAAUACAUCUGAACAGUAGUGCCAAGAAGAAAAGAUAGUGUACAAAAUGGUCUCUGGUCUUCACUCAUCUAAUAUCAGUUCAUAUAACUUCAGAUUACUCUCUGUGUGGUUUUUGUCUGUUAUUGUUUAAUUAGAUUAAAGAGGGACGAACAUUUUAUAUAAAUUAUCUUUACGUAUUAUACAUUCUUAUUAUUUUCCAUAUUAUGAAAUAAUAAAUAUAUAUAUAAUAAUUAAAAGUUCAGUAACUAUUAGUAUAUAAUUAAAUUAGUACGAACACAUAACAUUUUUUUAUUGAUCCACACAAACACUUUUUAUAUUUUAUAUGAUAUAUAAUAAAAUUUAACUGAUAAUAACAUGUAUAUAUAUAGUAUAUUUUAAAUAUUAAUAUCUAUUAAAUAAUGUUUUUUACUCAUAUUGUUUUUGGUAGAGGAUACACUAAUUUUUAACAAAUUUUUAUUACUCAAAAUCAAUAAAUUGUUAUAUAUACUUUAGCCACUUAAACAAUUCCGUAAUUUUUAUUUUAAAAAAGAAUGAAUAAUAUUAAUAAUUAAUUUAUGGUUAGUUUAAUAAAAGCUUAUUAUAUAUUUAGAUGGACCAUAUUUCUCUAAAGAUUUUAAGAAUUAUUGUUGUGAUGACACAUGACUAUCUCAUACGUUAUAAACUUAUAAUGCUUCUCUUUUAAUAUAUAAGGGAUACAUAAUAUGUCUUAUUUAUCAAACAAUUACAUAUAACUUUAAUGUUUCCGAAUUUGAAUGAUUUGAUCUUGUUAGACAAGUUUAUAUCUUCAAACUAUAAAAACAUACGUAAGGUAAACAUAAAUUUGAGCAUGUUAAUAAAUGUCUACAUAUAAACUUCUAAGAUAUAAACUUCCAUAAACGUCUAAGAUAUAAACUUAUAUAAACCCACCAUUCAAGUUGAAAGCCAACAGUUCUUUAGUCGUCGAUUGAUAUUUUUGCGAGUAGUCCAGUGCUUGAGAAACUUUAUCUCUGCAUUUCUCUUAGCCUUCUUCUUCCUCCUUUUUACAGUUAUCCCACUUUAGAAUCUAUAACUUAUCUGACUUAAUAUAUAGACAUGAGACGAAUAUGAGAGACAAUGCAUGUAGUCAAAGUAUGGGACGAGGAUGCUCCAUUUGCUGAAUAUCUUUCACGUCACCUUCUGAUCGACAAUCUGGUUUAAGAAACAAAGAUAUAAAUCAACAAUUGCAAACAAAUAUAUAUAUUGCAAACCAAAUCAUCAAGCGAUUUAAGAAUUGAUAUACCUUGUCUUUGGUGUCUUCAUCACUUUUUCAUCCUAGAGUUUCUGGAAAUAGUAAACACUGCACAAAUAGUGAAUACCGCACAAAUCUUCUUUUUGUCUUGAGUGGCAGACUUCCCAUAGAUGCCUCUUUUAUCAAGAAAGCCAAAACGAGGUAUUUUCUUUCAUGUAGUGGAUAACAACACUGACUAGUAAAAGCAUUCAUUUUUUUAUGAAAGUAAAAGCAUUUAUUUGUUUUCAUAAAUCUUGCAACUAAACUUCAUAAUCCGCAAAAUAAAAUGGAUAAAAGAGAUGUCUAUAAUAUUAUUUGAGAAAUCAUUUAUCUAUGUGUCAUCAAUUACAAUGAUAUCCUUAAUGAAUAACAUAUUUUACUAAUUGCCAUUAUAACAUUGUCUAUUUUUUUUGAUAACCUUUUAAAAAUUAUAUCAAUAUCAAAAAGGAAUUUAGUAUCACAAAGGUAAUACUUUAGAAAUAAAAAUAUAUAGCAUUAUGUUAUAUUUAAAACAUGUGAUUCAACAAUAUGUAAUUCCAUUUUAUAUAAAUCUCAAUUUCACAAAAUUUUAUAUUUCUUGAUCAUGUUAGUUAAACUAAAUUUUUUAAAAAUAUUAAAAUAUAUAAUACUUUUUUAUUAAAAAAAUUAGUUACGAAGCAAGUACUUACUUUAAGAUAUUAAACAACUUUAUUUUUUCUUAUUUUCAAAAUUCCUAAAAUGCUAUGUAAUUAUACUUAUGCUAUUUAAUUAUACUUUUGGAUAAUUACAAUAUCUUAUUUUAAACAUAUUUUCUCAUAAUUUUAUGGAAUUUUAUUUUCCUAAUUAAAGAUUCUCAAGCCUAAUACAAUAUGGAUAGGGAUAGCAAUGUUGGACCUGGACCGCAUGCUUGGCCCAUUAGAGAUUGCUGCGGGCGGAUUUGGGCCGGCAUAUGAUAAGCCCAAAAAGAGCGGGCCUUGCGGGCUGGGACUGUGCGGGAUUGGGCUUAAUGCAGGAUGGGCCGCAGGUUGACUUGCGGGAUUCUAAUGACCCGCAAACUGAUCUUCACCUGAAAAAAAAUGAGAAAAGAGAGCAGAAAAGGCGAUUAGGGGUUAGAUCUUCACCGACAACCUAUGGAGCUCCGGUGACGGGAGGGUCGGUGAUGCUUCUGGUCUCCCAUGUGUCUUCGAUAUCCACCAUUGGAGCUUCUUCAAGCCACCAAAAGAAGUGGGCAAACUCACUUUCCACCGAAGAAAAAGAUCCAGCUCCGGCGAUGGGUUCUUCAGCGAUGGUGGUUGGAGCGACUCCUUCGAUCGAUGCAUGUCACAGGUAAGGAUAUACAACCAUGUUUUGUUGUCGAUUUAUAUUCUCGGGUCUAACACUCUAACUCAUCGGUAUGGUGAUUUGGCUGCAAUGGCUUGUGAUCUGCUUAGUAUUCCUAUAACAACUGUAACUUUGGAGUCCUUUUUUAGUAUUGGAUCGUGAGUUCUAAAUAAGUAUAGGAGCUGUGUAAUUCCAAGAAUGUGCAAGCUCUGAUUUGCACUAGGAGUUGGCUAAAACGAUAUAAAGCUUAUGAACAUAGUAAAUUGUUCACAAUAUCAUAUAUUUUGGAGUUUUAUGUUUCAAUAUAUCUUUAACUAAAUUGAAUUAUUAUUAUUUCCAGAAGAUGAAGUUGAUGCUGAAGAAGACACACUCCCAUCAUUUGAAUUGAUUGUUGCUGAAGAAGUUGAAGAACAAGAAGUGUGAUUUGUUGUUUUGAUUUGGUGUUCUCUUUUUAAUUACUUUUCAGAUUGACAUCUUUGAUUUGAUGUUUGGUUUUAUUUAAUUUUGGAUUCAGCAAACUAAAGCAUUGGUUGUGAACUUAUGAUUUUUCGAUUCAGCAAACUAAACAUCAUACAUAAACAAACAAAUAAAUGGUCAAAAAGGUUAAGCAUGAUUUUAAUGCUGAUAUCAUUAUUAGCAAGUUCAUUAUAUUUGAGGCAAAAUUAUUAUUAAAAAAACAUAACUAAUACGAGUAAAUUUUGUUGUUACGUAGAAUGUUUAAAGAUAUAGGAUUAAGAAAAAAAUAUUCUUAACCAUGUAUACCUAUAAGCCUACAUGUAAUAUGAAGAACAAUUUUAAUAAUAAAACGCACAGGAAAUAACAUCCCAAGACAAUCUUCUGGGGCUUUCAGUAGAACAAAGCAACAUUCUUUUGUGAUAAUUUUCAACUGGAAUUUCUUCACUGCAUCUAUGCAAUUUGGAACUUUCCUAACAUCGUUUACACACUGAAGUGGAUUUGGUAGGAAUCCUUCCUCUGACAUUAGAGCAAGCGGAGCAUUUGCAUUACCUUUCGUAUUUUGAGAAAUCGAUAGUAGCACUACCAGCAAUAACAUAGUCAAUACAUAAACUUUUUGCUUGUUCUCAAUCAUUGUUUAGUGUUUAUUUAUUUUGUGAUUACUGUUAUGACAUUUUCUUGAUAUUUAUAUAUGUCUAUGAUCAUGACUUUUUUAGUAAAUGAGAUAUGAGGUGAUUUCAUUUGAUUUUUUUACAUAUAUGUACUAGUAAUUUUAACCAUCUUACCUUUAUUAGAAAAAAUACAAUGUAUAACGCCAAAUUAACAAAUGUACGAUAAAAAUGGUAUAAAAUAUAUUACAUUAACAAUUUACAUGUGUUCAUUAUUAUAUUGGUAUCAAAAAAGAUUUAACUUUAGUAGAAUUAAUUAUAUGGUUUAUAUUAUUAUUGAAACUAUUAAAUAAAAAUUUAGGGAAUCAAGAUAUUGUUUUAUUAUAAACCUUCUUAAAACCAUGUUAGAUUGUUAAUAAUAGAAAAGCUAUUGUUCCCUAGACAUUAUUUGAGAAUUGAUUUGCCAUGUGUCAUCACCAUAAUGAUUUUGAAAGAAAAAUGAUGACAUGCUAUGAUAUCGAAUGAUGACUUGAAGGUAAAUAUGACAUGGAUAUUUUACAUUUGAUGAAUAUAGAUUCUGUAAAAUCUUCCUUGCGACAUCGACACCUUGACCGUAUAAUCUUCUGUGAAUCCCAUCUAUAUGAUGGUAUAUAUUGUAUUUCGGUUUGAUUAUCCUUUCUUUAUAUAACUCUAACAAGGUGUUUUUCAUGGUGGUAAUCUCUUCCAGAAGCAUUGAAUCCUUGGAACAAAAUCGUUGGGCCAUAAAAGGCACAGACAAACAUCGACGGAAGUAGACUUUAUUAAUUGAGGCCAACUCACCAGAGAUAAACUCUUACGAAGGAAGAUACACCAUACAUCAAACACACCAUCCCAUGUUAUUAUCAUCUUCUCCGAAUAGAAACCAAUUAUAAUACGCAUGAAUAUAUUUACAGUCACCACCGGGAAGAGGAAACGACGAGAGUACCAUAUCGAAUAAAAUCAUUGUUUAUAUGUUUCCCAAAACGAUAACAAGAUUACUGAAACAAACAUCAUAGAUAUUGUCAAUGGAUUCAUAAAUGAAGUAAAAGUAAGGAACAAACAAGUAAUUGGGUGAAAAAUUGGCGACCAGAACCACCCAAGUCUCAUUAGAAACCGCCAAGAAAUCGCCAUACAAUCGCCACAAGUAACAUAGUGUUUCUUACAUACCAUGAGUAAAUUUUAUAUAAUUUUAGAGUUGAAAUGCUUUGAAUCAGUUGUAAAUUUUAUAAUUGUACCAAAUAAUUUUAAUAAAGCUGAAAGAAAAACUUUCUAAUCUUUCGAAUUUUCAAAAGACAUGUAUAGAUCAUUACACAAAGUAAAACCAUAAAUUUAAAAUAUCACAAAUAUAAUAAUUUCAAGUUAUUUAGAAAAAGAAAAAAUAUCCAAAAGUACCACAAAGACAUGUUAUAUACAAUCUCAAAAGUCAAUCAUGGAUAGAUAAGUUUUUAUCCAAAAGUACCACAAAGACAUGUUAUAUACAAUCUCAAAAGUCAAUCAUGGAUAGAUAAGUUUUUGUGUGAAAAAUGAAAUUCAUAAAACUUAUGCAAGAGAAAAGUAAAUUAAACAACCAAUUUGCACAUGAACCAACAAAGUGUUAUCCACACAUAAUAUGUUUAAUUCUACAUACUUGUUGCAUGAUUUUAUUUAUCAGUUGAAUUAUUCCUACCAAAAGUAUCACAAAAUAGUCUAUUUAUAUUACAAGUAUUAUAUAAGAAUUGUCGAGAUGUAGAUGAUUUAUCUGCAGUAAAAUUUAUCUGAUGAAAGUUAAAGUAGUCAUUCACCAGUUACAAAAAAAUUAUCCAUUCACCGAGAUCAUAAUUAUGUACUUACAUAUCAACUGUAUAUUCUUACUUUGUCUUAUAUAAACCAUAUUCACUCAAUAAAUACCUAUAUAUUUGGAAAAAUAUUAGGAAAAAAUGUGGUAUAGUUUACAUUUUCACACUAGUUUGUCUAAUUUCAAAGUACUUGUUGUAUCAUCUCUAAUAUGCAUAUUAUAUAGUUUAAUAUAAAAUUAAUUAUAGUACUAAGAAUUUUCUAUUAUGUCCUUCAGAUAAACAAACAAUAUGGAUAAUAAUGCUAAAAGUUGAAAUAUCAAAUCAUAAAACAACAAACUAAACUCCUAGUAACAUCUAAUAGGGGGAAAUAAGGGGUAAAAAUUAUUUUUAACCUCUUUGAAGAAUUUAAAUGGAUAUUCUUAUCUUUUUACAAUCAAACAUAUUUUCUUAAUGAAGGUUGACCUUUACCUGGAUAUGCUAGAAAGCCACAUUACAACUUUUAAAAAUAUAGCAUGCCAUUAAAGAAAAUAUUACGUUUAUAAGAAAAUUUUGAUAUGAUAAUUCUUUUGUUUAAAUACUAAACAAAUAAUAAAUCUAUUCUUCUGGUUGAAAUAAUAUGCCUACCAAUUGAAAGAAAACAUAACAUGAUAAUUAGAGUUUUUAAUUACGAUAUAAUAUGAUAAUAUAUUUGACUAUUAUUAAUGUGAUCGUAAUGUUAACACCCAUGUUUGAAACUACGCUAGCCGUAAGUCGGGUGACCCUAGCGAGUUAAUAGAAAAUCUGAGAUUAACUGGGGAUUAAUCGGAAUUAGUUUUUAGUACUUAUCUUAAUUUUUUGUAGAAAUGUAUAUCCUAAAUAUUUAUCUGUUUUUUUUUCUUUUAUUAAUGAAAAAUUGUAAUUAAGUUGUAUUCUUUUUUCUAGGGAUUUCAAUUCUUUUCUGAUUUUUAAUGACCGCCUCACCCUUUUAACAUAAUACAUUGCUUUCUUUGCGGAUUUCUUAUUAUUUAUGCAUAAAAAGUAUAGAUUUGUUACGUAACUUCAAUUUUCAAGCGUUUAAAACCCAAAAACACGAACUUUUUCUACGAAUCCGAUUUUUUGUUCGAUUUUAAUGGAAUCGCCACGGUUUUUCACCGUCGAGCGUUGCACUACCGUUUUAUACUAUUAUUUUCUAUAUAUAUAAUAAAUAACUAUUUAAAUAAAUAAAUAUCUAAAAAAAUCAAACCCUAAACCCUAAAACUCAACUCUAAACCCUAAAUCAUCAAUCACAAAAUAUAAAAAAAAAAAAGUCAAGACUAGUGAAACUACAUGUUUCAUAAAUCUUAAAAAUUAAUUAUUUUUUAUAAAAUAUAAAACUAUACAAAAUUGUAAUUUUUAUAAAGAUUUUAUAUUCAUUUCUUAAUUUAAUACUUUAAAAUUAAUUUUAUAAAUAAAAGUAAUAAAUUCAUGUUAAAUAAUAAUUACUUAAUAUUAUACAUUUAAAAUUUUAUAUUUAAUUGUAGAUAUUUAUUUGUAAAAAAGUCGGAGCAAAGCGGAUAUCCGAAAAAAUUUAGUAUUUGUGUUUUUCUUCGUCUUUAGUGGAUUUUAAUUUUUGAUAUUUGUUUUAUUCCAAAACUUAGGAAUAUCCAGAUUUUUGUACCGAAUUGAAACGAAUAAUGAAUAGAAUCAAAAUAAACUGAUAAAAUGUCAGCCCUAUUCAUAAUGCCGAGACCUAAUCCUAAUGCGAAGACCCUUUGAUUUGUGACAAGACACUGACUCGAGACAAUAAUUGACAAAUGAAAUUAAUAAUUCAGAAAGAGAUCUUUUAGAUAUUGGUAGUAUCUAAGUCAGAGCUUUCUCAGUUAACAAUAAAAUAGAAAAAUAAAGAGAGAAUAGUAUAGAAAGAAGCGAGAGACCUUCAAGAGAAACUUUUAUUAUACUUAUCAUUGUUCAAAAAUUUUAUACAUGAAUUAUAAUAUUAAUAUUAUAUUGUGAGAUAUUUUUUGUUAAGAUAUUCUACUGAUGCACAUUAAUAAAGUCUACCGGCAUUUAAUCAAGAUGGAUAGAGGGGGGGGGCCGCACUUGUCCCGCAAACCGCAUGAACCGCAGUUGUACUGUACCGCACUUUAAUUCCGCACCGCUUAUUUUAUCAAAUCUGCGGUUCCCAUUCGGUAGAUAUUGGUAGUAUCUAAGUCAGAGCUUUCUCAGUUAACAAUAAAAUAGAAAAAUCAAGAGAGAAUAGUAUAGAAAGAAGGCGAGAGAACUUCAAGAGAAACUUUUAUUGUACUUAUCAUUGUUUAAAAAUUUUAUACAUGAAUUAUAAUAUUAAUAUUUUAUUGUGAGAUAUUUUUUAUUAAGAUAUUCUACUGAUGCACAUUAAUAAAGUCUACCGCCAGCGCCAUUAGUAUAUAUAAGAGCCUAGCGCUGUUGGAGAAUAAUCAAUUUAAAUAUGAAAAAGGGUAAAGACAUUGAUAGAGAGGAGCGAGAGACAGCAGCAAAUGAGCCGCUUAGUCCGGUUUCGCAGUUGUUUGUUUUGCCAGGCCUUUACUGCGUCAUUGUUUUAACACUAGGGUUUAAAACUAGAUGCAACCCAUCUGCCAUUGUUGAAGGUAUCAAGAACACAUGGAUCAAGCUCCCUCGCUUCUCUAGCAAAGUGGUAAACAUACUUACAUGCUUUAAUUUUACAAACAAGAGAAUUUGUUAUCAUGACAUGUAGUUACUAGUUUUAGUUCAAAAAAAAGACAUGUAGUUACUAGUUUGUUAUCAUGACAUGUAGUUGCAUGCAUGUUGCUCGAAAAAUGUUAAAAAGUAGACUCAAUUUGGUUGUUAUGAAAUAAAAAUACUUGAAUAUAUAUGUAUAGAUAUGUGUGUGUGUGUGUGUAUAUAUAUAUAUUAUUUUCUUUGUUCAUAAAUUUAUAUUUUAGGAGAUGAAGAAAAAUGGACAAGCGGUUUGGGUCCCUGUUACUGUUCGAGUUGAAGAUCAUGUUAUUGUACCAGAUCUUGACCAUUUCAACAUUGAAAAUCCUGAUCAAUUUAUAGAAGACUAUACGUCAAACAUUGCUAGUACUCCAAUGGAUAUGUCCAGACCUUUAUGGGAAUUUCAUGUGCUGAAUGUAAAGACAUCAAGCGCAAAAUCUGUAGGCAUAGGAAAAUUACAUCAUUCACUAGGCGAUGGGGUGUCUCUUAUGUCUCUUCUACUCGCUAGUUCACGAAAAGUAUCAGACCCCAAGGCUCCUCCAACUACAACGGCUACAAAAAAACAUGCUGAUUCAAGUGCUAAGGGUUGGUGGUGUAUUAGGAGAUUUUGGUUGGUGAUAAAUAUCAUUUUCACAACUCUUAUUGAAUUGUUCAAGUUUUGGCUUACUCUAUGUUUUAUGCGUGAUACGAAAACUCCUCUCAUGAGUGAACCGGGAGAUACAGUUCGACCUAGAAAAUGUAUCAAUAGGAUAAUAAGCUUGGAUGAUGUCAAAAUGAUAAAGAACACAAUGGAAAUGGUAAGCAUAUUAAUAUUUUAAUAUUAUGUUUCUUUAUAUUGACCAGUUGUCUUGUUUUUUUUUUUGUAGAAAGUAAAUGAUGUUCUUCUUGGAAUGACACAGGCAGGUCUCUCAAGAUAUUUGAGCAAAAAAUCUGGUAUUUUAAAAUUCUUUCCCAGUCUACUAGCUAGUGUUCUUGACCUUAAUAUUGUUAUAAAUCUAGUUUUAGUAGCUUUUGUAGAUGAAAAAAACAAAGUGAAAAAGAUAUGAAAAUAUAAUGGCCUUGGAAAAACACUCGCAAGUCUAAUAUUUGUUCUUUCAAUUAAUUAUCAAUUGCUUACAAAAAAAAUAAUUAUCAAUUUAUUGCAAUUUUUAAUAUCUAUUUCACAACUAAGAAAUAUGUACCUUAAAAUUUAGGGGAAUUGCCACUAAUACCACUUUCCUAAUACCACUUUUCAACUUUACACUUUUCAAAUUUACCUUUAAAAUUUUAAUGGGUAAAGUACCAUUAUACCCUUAUUUAAUCAAACAUAAACCUAGUGUCUUUCUUCCACGAUUUCUUCAAUCUCAGAUCCACUAAUAACAAUCUAUCAAAUUCUCUUCGGUGAUCAAAUCCGGCGAGAUUCGAUGAUUCUGAGGAGUUUUCCGGCGAGAUUUGACGACACCGGCGAGUUCUCCGGCGAGAUUUGAAGACGCCGACGAAUUCUCCGACGAGAUUUGAUGACGCUGACGUUCGGUGAGAUUUGACGAAGACUUCAACCUCAAACGAACAGAACAAAACGACUUCUUACCACUAACACGUAACAAAGGUGAGAGGAUAAUAUAUGGUGAUUUUCGUCACUUUCUGUAAUUUUUCUCAUAAUCGAUCAAUUUCUGGGUAUAUAUAUAAUAAAUAACUAUUUAAAUAAAUAAAUAAAAAAAUAUUUUUAUGUUUUUGAAUUAUACUUUAUGAUAUUUGAACUUUUAAUAAAUUUUAAAAUGAUACUAUCUUACUUGUGAGGAUAUAUUUUUGAGAUAAUGAGGGAAGAGCAAUUGAGCAUGCCAUGCUCUAAGAUACGAAUUGACUGCACAAUAAAGAUACGUUCAGAGUCUCGUCCUUCGGAGACCUUUGGUUUAACAUGUUAACUCCACCUGACUCGUCAUUUACUCGGUCCAUUAUUACUUUGGGUCUCUGUGGGUUUGGGUCCUAACCUAUAAUUUGGUUCGAAUUUUUAGAAUUAUUAUCUUUUCCAGCAUUAAAUUCAGCGCUAGAGAGGAAGUGCGUUUGGCCUAUAUAUCAGCUCUUACAACAGAUCGGAGCAAAUCCGGGUAAAAGGUAGAUCGAGAUUAUACAUCAAAUGCGGUAAAAGAAAUGCUACCUUUUUUAGCUAACACGAAAUGACACCUUGUUUCACAAGUUUAGUAAGUCAAAUUUGUAUGAAACUAUCACUUCUAAAAUAAGAUCCUAAUUAGACGUGGGUGGACACGAAUCAAAAUACUACCAUAAUAUUUGGUAUUUGUGAUUUGUUUCGUAUUUUAUAGAUAUCUAAUUUUCUGAUAUAUCCAGAAAAUUUACAGAUAUUUACGGGUAUUCAUUUUUUUCAAUACAAGUAAAUUUAUAAAAAAACUAUACAAUUUUGUUUUCAAAUUAUUUUUACAAAAUAUAAAAAAAAAAAAGUCAAGACUAGUGAAACUACAUGUUUCAUAAAUCUUAAAAAUUAAUUAUUUUUUAUAAAAUAUAAAACUAUACAAAAUUGUAAUUUUUAUAAAGAUUUUAUAUUCAUUUCUUAAUUUAAUACUUUAAAAUUAAUUUUAUAAAUAAAAGUAAUAAAUUCAUGUUAAAUAAUAAUUACUUAAUAUUAUACAUUUAAAAUUUUAUAUUUAAUUGUAGAUAUUUAUUUGUAAAAAAGUCGGAGCAAAGCGGAUAUCCGAAAAAAUUUAGUAUUUGUGUUUUUCUUCGUCUUUAGUGGAUUUUAAUUUUUGAUAUUUGUUUUAUUCCAAAACUUAGGAAUAUCCAGAUUUUUGUACCGAAUUGAAACGAAUAAUGAAUAGAAUCAAAAUAAACUGAUAAAAUGUCAGCCCUAUUCAUAAUGCCGAGACCUAAUCCUAAUGCGAAGACCCUUUGAUUUGUGACAAGACACUGACUCGAGACAAUAAUUGACAAAUGAAAUUAAUAAUUCAGAAAGAGAUCUUUUAGAUAUUGGUAGUAUCUAAGUCAGAGCUUUCUCAGUUAACAAUAAAAUAGAAAAAUAAAGAGAGAAUAGUAUAGAAAGAAGCGAGAGACCUUCAAGAGAAACUUUUAUUAUACUUAUCAUUGUUCAAAAAUUUUAUACAUGAAUUAUAAUAUUAAUAUUAUAUUGUGAGAUAUUUUUUGUUAAGAUAUUCUACUGAUGCACAUUAAUAAAGUCUACCGGCAUUUAAUCAAGAUGGAUAGAGGGAUCUGCGUGCAUUUUCCCACUAGACUACAUUAUUAUUUAAUUUAAACAUUCCUAUUUAUUACAAAACAUACAAUAUAUUAAUAAACUUUUAUAAAUAUUUUAUAAAUGAUUUAGAAAUGUUAUUUUAGUUUUUCUUUUUGCGAAAUUAAGAUAUUUAUGAAAAUAAUUAUCUUUUAAAAGUAAAUUUGAAAAGUAGUAUCAAAUUUAUGGUAUCAAAUUUGUAGUAAAAUUAAAAUUAUUCCUUAUUGUUUAGUACGAUUGUGCAUCAUAUAAAAUAAAAUAUUUUUUAUUUAUUUAUUAGUAAAAAGCUUAUUAACAGUAUUUUAAUAAAUAAUUUAUAUAAAAUACAUAAAUUACAGUCAGUUUUUUAUUAAAAUUAUUUUUAGAAUUUUGUGUUUAUCACUAAACAAACAAAUUUAAUUGUAAUUUUCUUAAAUAUAUUUAUUUUACAUUACUUUUCUAUCAAAACCGCAUUACUUUUUCUAUCAAAACCGCACUUGUCCCGCAAACCGCAUGAACCGCAGUUGUACUGUACCGCACUUUAAUUCCGCACCGCUUAUUUUAUCAAAUCUGCGGUUCCCAUUCGGUAGAUAUUGGUAGUAUCUAAGUCAGAGCUUUCUCAGUUAACAAUAAAAUAGAAAAAUCAAGAGAGAAUAGUAUAGAAAGAAGGCGAGAGAACUUCAAGAGAAACUUUUAUUGUACUUAUCAUUGUUUAAAAAUUUUAUACAUGAAUUAUAAUAUUAAUAUUUUAUUGUGAGAUAUUUUUUAUUAAGAUAUUCUACUGAUGCACAUUAAUAAAGUCUACCGCCAGCGCCAGUAGUAUAUAUAAGAGCCUAGCGCUGUUGGAGAAUAAUCAAUUUAAAUAUGAAAAAGGGUAAAGACAUUGAUAGAGAGGAGCGAGAGACAGCAGCAAAUGAGCCGCUUAGUCCGGUUUCGCAGUUGUUUGUUUUGCCAGGCCUUUACUGCGUCAUUGUUUUAACACUAGGGUUUAAAACUAGAUGCAACCCAUCUGCCAUUGUUGAAGGUAUCAAGAACACAUGGAUCAAGCUCCCUCGCUUCUCUAGCAAAGUGGUAAACAUACUUACAUGCUUUAAUUUUACAAACAAGAGAAUUUGUUAUCAUGACAUGUAGUUACUAGUUUUAGUUCAAAAAAAAGACAUGUAGUUACUAGUUUGUUAUCAUGACAUGUAGUUGCAUGCAUGUUGCUCGAAAAAUGUUAAAAAGUAGACUCAAUUUGGUUGUUAUGAAAUAAAAAUACUUGAAUAUAUAUGUAUAGAUAUGUGUGUGUGUGUGUGUAUAUAUAUAUAUUAUUUUCUUUGUUCAUAAAUUUAUAUUUUAGGAGAUGAAGAAAAAUGGACAAGCGGUUUGGGUCCCUGUUACUGUUCGAGUUGAAGAUCAUGUUAUUGUACCAGAUCUUGACCAUUUCAACAUUGAAAAUCCUGAUCAAUUUAUAGAAGACUAUACGUCAAACAUUGCUAGUACUCCAAUGGAUAUGUCCAGACCUUUAUGGGAAUUUCAUGUGCUGAAUGUAAAGACAUCAAGCGCAAAAUCUGUAGGCAUAGGAAAAUUACAUCAUUCACUAGGCGAUGGGAUGUCUCUUAUGUCUCUUCUACUCGCUAGUUCACGAAAAGUAUCAGACCCCAAGGCUCCUCCAACUACAACGGCUACAAAAAAACAUGCUGAUUCAAGUGCUAAGGGUUGGUGGUGUAUUAGGAGAUUUUGGUUGGUGAUAAAUAUCAUUUUCACAACUCUUAUUGAAUUGUUCAAGUUUUGGCUUACUCUAUGUUUUAUGCGUGAUACGAAAACUCCUCUCAUGAGUGAACCGGGAGAUACAGUUCGACCUAGAAAAUGUAUCAAUAGGAUAAUAAGCUUGGAUGAUGUCAAAAUGAUAAAGAACACAAUGGAAAUGGUAAGCAUAUUAAUAUUUUAAUAUUAUGUUUCUUUAUAUUGACCAGUUGUCUUGUUUUUUUUGUUGUAGAAAGUAAAUGAUGUUCUUCUUGGAAUGACACAGGCAGGUCUCUCAAGAUAUUUGAGCAAAAAAUCUGGUAUUUUAAAAUUCUUUCCCAGUCUACUAGCUAGUGUUCUUGACCUUAAUAUUGUUAUAAAUCUAGUUUUAGUAGCUUUUGUAUAUGAAAAUAUAAUGGCCUUGGAAAAACACUCGCAAGUCUAAUAUUUGUUCUUUCAAUUAAUUAUCAAUUGCUUACAAAAAAAAUAAUUAUCAAUUUAUUGCAAUUUUUAAUAUCUAUUUCACAACUAAGAAAUAUGUACCUUAAAAUUUAGGGGAAUUGCCACUAAUACCACUUUCCUAAUACCACUUUUCAACUUUACACUUUUCAAAUUUACCUUUAAAAUUUUAAUGGGUAAAGUACCAUUAUACCCUUAUUUAAUCAAACAUAAACCUAGUGUCUUUCUUCCACGAUUUCUUCAAUCUCAGAUCCACUAAUAACAAUCUAUCAAAUUCUUUUCGGUGAUCAAAUCCGGCGAGAUUCGAUGAUUCUGACGAGUUUUCCGGCGAGAUUUGACGACACCGGCGAGUUCUCCGGCGAGAUUUGAAGACGCCGACGAAUUCUCCGACGAGAUUUGAUGACGCUGACGUUCGGUGAGAUUUGACGAAGACUUCAACCUCAAACGAACAGAACAAAACGACUUCUUACCACUAACACGUAACAAAGGUGAGAGGAUAAUAUAUGGUGAUUUUCGUCACUUUCUGUAAUUUUUCUCAUAAUCGAUCAGUUUCUGGGAAAGAAGACGAAGCUUUUCUCAUGAGGUUUUAAAAAUUUCAAAUUUAUAAAACCUUAUAAAUAUUUAUCGAUGAGGAACAUAGUGUUAUGUUUUAUCGUUUUUUGAUAUAUCUUGUUGAUUCUUCAAACUUUAAGUAAUUUUGUGUUGAAUAUAUUUUUACUCCUACUAACUUAUAUUUCUUUCUUCUCCAGAUCUUUGUCCUGCGAUAAAAUUGGGAGUUGCUCCAAAUGAAAUCACCGGUGAACUUGGGAGUUGCUCCACGACAAUGUCAUUGUCCAAAUCGACAAGGCUAAUAGGCAGUCGUUCUAUCAAAACAACGAGACUGUACCACACGGAUUCACACAUACUUCAGAGGAUAUCGAGGAUGGUGAAGUUAUCGGUAUCAUCACUUUGGAAGAUGUGUUUGAAGAGCUUUUGCAGGAAGAGAUUGUGGAUGAAACUGAUGAAUAUGUUGACGUUCAUAAAAGGUUAUCCUCUUUAAUACAUUUAUGUAAAGAUGUUUCAGCUGACUGACAAAAAAAAGUCUCCCUAGUAUUUGCAGGAUUCGAGUAGCAGCAGCAGCAGCUGCCUCAUCAAUAGCUCAAGCUCCUUCAAGCAGGAGAUUGAUUGCACAAAAAGGAGCUGUGAGUUAAUUGCAAACAAAGAAUGAUUUGUUCUUAUGUUGGAGAAAGUUCAAGAUUUUCUUAGAGAUAAGUUGUGUAACUUUGAUUCGCAGGGAGGAGGACAAAAUAGGCAAGCGCAGACGGUAAAAGGUUCUAUUACAGAGCCUGUUGAGGGGAAGCAACCAAUGUAAUGGAUGUUGUGUCAUUGCUUGAAGGGCUAAAACUCUUGUUUGCGUUAUAAGAAAGGAACAUAGAAUAAAGUAAAGAUCCAAGUCUUGACCACGUUCUGUUCAAUUGGAAAAUUCAUCAUAUAAGAGAUGGUUUGUCCCCCAGUUUUUUGUCUACAAAUGCGUACAAUUUGUAAUAUACUCCAGUACUUAUAUUCUUUUAUACGUGUCAUGAAGUUAUCACAGUGUGCUCUUAUAAAAUUUAUAAAUGGUUCAUAAAUGGUUUUAUAAACCUUUAUAAAUAGUUAUAUAAAUAUUUAUAUUUUUUUUUAUAAACCUUUACAUUUUUUUUAUAAACCCUUUAUAAACUCUUCAAAACCCAUUAAAACCUUUUAUAACCCCUUACAAAUCUUAUAUAAGCUUUUAUAAACUUAUUGAAACCCUUUAUAAACUUUAUAAACCCUUAUAAAUUCUAUAUAAAAUCUUUAUAAACACAUGUAAGUGAUUUUGUAAAACCUUUAUAAAUAUUUAUAAACCAUUAUAAACAUUUUAAACAUUUUGUGAUGACUAACUUAUGGGAGCUACAAAGCAGUUUCAAUAUGUUCUUACUGUGAUUUUUUUUAUAAACCUUUACAUUUUUUUUAUAAACCCUUUAUAAACUCUUCAAAACCCAUUAAAACCUUUUAUAACCCCUUACAAAUCUUAUAUAAGCUUUUAUAAACUUAUUGAAACCCUUUAUAAACUUUAUAAACCCUUAUAAAUUCUAUAUAAAAUCUUUAUAAACACAUGUAAGUGAUUUUGUAAAACCUUUAUAAAUAUUUAUAAACCAUUAUAAACAUUUUAAACAUUUUGUGAUGACUAACUUAUGGGAGCUACAAAGCAGUUUCAAUAUGUUCUUACUGUGAGAUCAGAGGUUAGAUUUGUACCCGAACCUCUUCUUUGGAGAUGAAGUGUUUAAAUCCUUUUAGGAGUUAUGAUAGUUAGAGGUGAUCUUGCAGUAGAAUGUGGAUGGAGGAAAUUAGCUAAUAUACAAGAAGAGAUUAUAGCUGUUUGCAAAGUUACUAGUGUACGUGAUUUUGGCGACUAAGGUUAUUUGAAUUGCUUGUCAAUGGUCUUCCGGCUCGAGCUGAGAUCACAUAUGCUGCAAAUGGCAGAAGGUCAAAAAAAUUUCACUGAAAGUAACAUGAUCCUGCUAAACAUUUCUUUGUCUAACUAUGGAGUUUGAAUAUUUUUGCAGGGUGAGUUGUGUGAUGUUGAACAAAGGCAAGCAUAUAGUUGAAGUUGUUUCGAAGUUGUUUAUAAAUCAUUUGUAAGAGUUAUAAAUUAUUUAUAAUGGUUUAUAUAUCAUCUAUAAAAUGUAUACAUAUUAUUUAUAAUGGUUUAUAAAUUAUUUAUAAGGAUUUAUAUAUAAUUUAUAAAGAUUUACUUAUAAAUUUUAUAAGAAUUUAUAAAUGAUCUAUAAACAAACUCUUCUAACUGAUUUAUAAUCACUUCUAAAUUGAUUUCUAAACUCUUAUAAAUUGGGUUAUGAAGAUUAUUAAAUUCUUAUAAUCUUUUGAAUAACUCUUAUAAAUAGAUUUAUAAACCUUGUAAAUUAAUUAUAAACACUUAUAAAUAAAUGUAUUAACUCUUAUAAAUAGCUUAUAAAUAGUUUUAUAAACCCUUUUAAAUAGUUUUAUAAACCUUAUAAAACCCUUAUAAAUUAUUUUACAAACUCUUAUAAAUUGUUUUUAUAAGUCUUUAUAAAUUAUUAUAGACUCUUAUAAAUGAUUUAAGAGACUUUCUAAUUGAUUAUUAAACCUAUAAACCUUAUAAAUUUUAUAAGACUUUAUAAACCUUAAUAUUUUUUUGUUUAUGAACUGAUGAGCUCUUGAAAAUAGUUAUUAAUAGUUUAAACCGAUUUAAAAGCCUUUCUAUAUUAGUUAUAGACCUUUAUAAAUUCAUUUUUAUAGAUUUAUAAAUCUUUAUAAAUUUUAAAUACGCAUUUAUAUAUCCUAAACUCAAUUGAUUUUACAAGAGGUAACAAAAACCAGUUUUAAUAAGGUGUUAUAAAGCUACUAAGAUAUAAAUUUUGAAAUAAACCAUUUUGCUUUGAUUUUAUAAGAGCUUAUAAACUUUCUAAAUUAAAGCAAAACCAUAAAUCCAACUCAUAAUACUCAGAAUACUCAGAAUUCUACAACACAAAGUUUACCAAACACGCAUAAAACAUACUCAGAUAGUUGUUCAAACAUAAAUAUAAGAAAGUGAUAAAGUUUUUGUUGAUUCCCACAUUAGUACUCAUUGCAAUUCCGAGAAGAUAUCAACCGCCAACUUUUCUCGGAUGAUUGCAAUUUUUUCUUCACUCAGCUUUGUCAAAUCCCCUAUACGCAUUGCAUGGCACUCUAUCAACUUCAAUGCAUAAACUCCACUGUCUUCUAUUUUAAGAACCUGAAACAAAAAUUUGUCAGUAAUAUAUUAGUCUUAAGAACAUAGCCGAUAAAUUAUAAUAUAAGUUAUUUGAUCUAUGAUACAAAUCUAACAUGAACAUUUAUAAGCAGUUAUAAAGAUGUUACCUGUGGAAAACCUUCAGAUACAAUUUUUAUUGAGAACUUGCUUGUAUCCAUGCUGACAUCUUUGAAGAAAUUGCGAAUCAUGAAUGGUAGAGCCAUCGCAUAUGCAUUUACAUAAGGUACCAAACUCGCAUCUUUGAACUUCAAUGCUGCACAAUUGAAUGAUGUGGUACUUCUCUUCUCCAAGUUGACUACAACUCCAAGCCAAUACUUUUCUUCUACUGCAAUAGCCGAAUAGAGAAAAUUGAUAUUUUUCUCUAUGUUGUACUUGUCAAAACCUGUUCCAAAUUGGAAACUUUUCUUGUCAUCUAAAAACUCAUCAUAAAGCUCAUCUAUUUCUUCAAGAAACUUCACUCCAACAACGAAGGCAGUUUUGUUCAGAAACAAAUCUGGAUUGUUUAUCUGUUUCAGUUUCAGCAACUCCAAACCUGCUUCAAUAUGCUGGGACAAAAUAACAAAUAUUCAGAAAAGCGAUCAUAUAGUUUUAUAAAGAAGAUUAAUAUAAAUUUAUAAGGGAUUAUAAAGAAUUUUUGUUCAAAUAUAGCCUAACCGUUUUUGAAAGCUUUUUUUCCCGGUGUUUCAAUAUCUGAGAACUACUUUGCGGUUACUAUCUCUUGAUUGAUUCUCAGUUUCCUACAUUGUACACUCAUACUUAUUAUGUAGGUAUCCAGUUUCACCUCAUGAAAUAUAUAGUUUUUUAUAAAAUAAAAACUUACUUUUUUUGUUUGACAUUUUCCAUUCUCUCAUCUUUUCUUUUCUUGUUUUAUCAAUUGGCUCAAAAGGAUGGAGAAUCGGAUGUUUCUUCCUUGCUCCUGCAAACGGUGGCUGUGUAUGAAUGGAUGGUAUUUGACCUCUUUCACUUCUUCUUAGUGGAACAUUAUCUGUAUCAGUUUUAAUCUUCUUUUGAAGUGGAGGCUCAAUAUCUUCGUUUACCUACAGACAAAAAAAAAUUAGUUUUUGCAAAUGGUUAUUAUGUCUAUAAAAUAAAUCAAUAUUCAUAAAGUUUGGAAAACAAACCUGGCUGUCUUGUUGUACCAAUCUCUUUUUAAUUUUCAUUAGAGGUUGAAAAUCAGAAAUCUCACAAACAUCUCUCAUAAGAACCUGAUUCAUGCAAAUUGUUUAAGAGGCCUUUAUCGAUCAUGAAAUAUUUUAUAAAGCUUUAUAAAAUACCUCAUAUGUACCCUUUCCACUACGACUUUCUUGGGAAAGGAGAUCAAACUUAGGCGACGUAAAUGUUGGAGUAGGCGAUGUAACCUGCAAACAAAAUAUUUGAAAAUUAGAUGUUUAUGAUAUAUACAUUAAACUUUACAAGGCCUUAUAAAACUAUACUAAUUUUGUACCCUUGUAUCAAAGUUUGGAGUAUUGAAUGUUGGAGUAGACGACGUAACCUACAAAAGAGAACUCUUUUUUUUCCUAAUAUUUCUGCUACCUUCUCGACAUAAUCAAUCUUUGAGUGAUGGAUUAUCGCUUUGGAAUUAUCUGGUGGUUCUCCAGCUUCCCUCAUAGGCAAUCUCAAUGUUGUGCAAAACUCGUUUCUAUCCAACUGCAAUACAAGACAACACUUCUUGAGUUCACACAUCUUAUAAUUACUUGAAACCCAAAUUUAUAAGGGCUUAUAAUGUUUCAAAACAAAACUCAAUGUUCACUAUCGAUACUCUUUCUCUUAGAUCUAACUAGGGACAUAAUCCUCAGCCAAUCUUAUUCUAUUUUCUUAUAACAGAAAUAAAAAAUUCAACAAAUGACUUGAAACAAACAAAAAGAUACACAAAUUUAGGAAAUUACUUGUAGAGAAUCAUGAAGAGGAGAUUCGUGAAUAAGAGAAUCGCUAAGAGGAGAAUCGUGAAGAGAAGACGACAUUUUUGAGAUGAGAUUUUUGAAUCGGGAUUGUUAUUGUCGCGAUUCGUCGUCACCAGUUGCUUUUUCCAGAGAGAUGUUGUGACUCGUGAAGGAGAAUACCUUUUCUCUUCUUCGUCGUGAGUUUCGCCGUCGUGACUAUCGUCGUCCGCCGUGAGUAUCGCCGUCCGUCGUGGAGAUUCGUCGGGGGGGAACCAAAACCUUAAAACGAACUUUCUCUGAUUUAGUUAGGGGGUACUUAGGUCAUUUACCCAUUAAUGAAUAAGGCAUUUAUGAAAAAGUCCCUUUAGUUGUGGUAUAGUUGAAAAGUGGUAUCCAAUAAAGUGUAAAAGUAAAAUUUCCCCUAAAAUUUAUUAUUUCUUUUGAAGUUUAUCAAUUUUGUUUAUCAAAUAUUUUAAAAACGCGUAGUAUAUAUUUUUAACUAUGCCUUAAAAUAUGCAUAUAUAUAUAGAUAUGUAUGAGUGAUCAUUUAUUAUUAUUAGACAAUACAUAUGAUAUGAAAAUAUAUUGCUACUAAACAUUAUAGAAAUGUUAUUACAUUUUGUAGUUGUUUGUACCGAUAUUCAUUAUAAUGCUCUGUUUAAUACUCCACAUCGUAGGAGUGUGCUAUUAUCGUAAUAUAUCAUCAUUCCUAGUUUCAAUUUUGUACGUUCUGAAAGUAGAUGAUGAUAUGGCGACCGGGAAGAAAAAAGUCCGUCUUCGUGGUACAGUAGCUGUAAAUCUAAGACCAGAUACAAAGAUUGAGGUAAUAUAAAUGUAACCAUCAUUUUCCCAGAUAUCUGCUAAAACAAUAUUUUUAAAAAUACACUAUAAUGCAAGAGGUUCAUAAAUACGAAAAUGUAGGAUCUCACUAAUAUGAUGGAAAAGGGUUCAAAGUGUAGAUGGGGAAACUUCGUAGGUAUUGUCAUAUUUCCUUUGUGGGUAAGAUGUGAGGAUGAUCCACUAGAAUACGUUAGAAAAGCAAAAUCUACGAUGGAUAUGAAAAGAAUCUCCAUGGAGGCACUUAUACUAUAUGGACUUGUUAAAUGUAUCAUGAAGAUAUUCGGGGAUAAGGUAAAAUAUGAAUAUCAACUAAUUAAUCAAUAUAUAUACUUACUUAUGUAUAUGUAAUUUUAAUAACAGGCAGCAGAAAAUAUUGUCAAAAGGGUAUUUGGUCACACAACAUUAACAUUUUCAAGUGUGAUGGGGCCAAAGGAAGAAGUAAGUCUUUUUGACCAUCCGAUGUCUUACGUGACAGCAACCGCAUCAGGUGGACCGCAGGUAAGCCAAUCAUGUUAUUCUUGCACAUAUUGAUUAAUUAUAACUUCGAUGAAAUUAAUUAAGAGGUGGUUAUGUUUGUUGUUUAACUAGGCUUUGAUUAUCCAUUUUGUAAGCUACGUAGACAAGAUUAUCAUCAAUCUGGCUGUCGACACAACAGUAAUUCCAGACCCUCAUCAACUAUGUGAUGAUUUGGUAGAAUCGCUCGGUAUCAUCAAACUUGCUGCCUUGGAGAAAGGAGUUCACAACAUGGAGGUUUGAGACAUUAUCACUACUUGAUAACUAUGAAGUUUUAUUUUUAAAAGAUAACAGGUGUUGAAAUCUAAUUACGUACCAUGUAAGCCUGGUUUGAUCUCAAUAAAAAGUUCUCUCGGCCGAAGCAUUUCCUACAUUAUAAUAUGUUCAAUCGAUGAUAUGUGUUUGAUUUUUGUACCGUUUUCCUUGUUUAAAGUUCGAACUUCAAAUGAUAUCAAUCUUGAGCUUCUUUAUUGCUACGCAUGUUCAAACUAUGGAUCUUGACUAGCCUCGCGAAAAUGCCAAUUUUAAUAGUAUUUUACAUGUCAGACCAUUUACACUUUUAUAGGUGAGACAUAUUUGUAGAUAUAUUUUUUUUUUUGAAAAGGGCUUUAUUUGUAGAUAUUCUAUAUCUUAUGCUUAGUUAAUAGAUAAAAGUUUACAAUCUAAUAUCAUCUCUAAUCAACUUCAAAGUUUACAAUCUAAGAUCGAUCUCCAAGAUCUUAUGUCAGACCACUUCAAUCUAAGAUCUUAAAUUAAAUUUUACAAUUUUAGAUCAUCUCUAGUUCCCUUUUAUUUUCAUUUCUAUACUUUCCUAAAUAUAUAUUUUAUUAUAUAGUUGAAUUUAAUAUAAUGUAUUUUUUGUAUAGAGUUUAUCUAUUUUUAGGAGAAAAUAUAGAAUACUACUAUUUCCAUCUCUAAAUAUAAAAAGAAAAAAUAUUAAAUUUGAAUUGUCGCGGUGGUGAGUAGUAUAACACGGUCCCAUGGUAACACUAAUAUAAAUUUCAAAGUACAAAUCACAAUCAUCCUAGAAAUCAGUUUGAGCAAUAUUAUAGAUCCUAUUUAAUACUCCCAGCUUCUUCCACAACGAACCUGAUAGCUAUUUAAGAACAGUUAUUGUAAACACAUGUGAAAUGUACAUCAAAAGAUAAGGGACCCUGUUUGGUAUUUUUGAUCAGUUCACCAUAACUUUCCAACUAUGUUAGCAGCUUGGUAGUUCAAUCUUUCAACUGUCCCAGACCACGUGGGAUCGCAAAUUAUACAUGAUUUCGUAAUGACUUAGUACAACUGUGAAGGCAUGUUUGGACAUUCUAUACUAGAUUAGGAAAAAUAUUUCUUGUUAAACCAAUCAAUAUACAUUUGUGAAGAAAAGUAAGGAUUAUAAAUAAUGCUUCUAGUACAUUAAACAGUGUGAUUCCCCAUGUAUAACCCGCCACCCUAUACUCAAUGGGGUCAUCUGACCCAUAUCAAAUCUACAAAAUCUUAAAUUUAGGCUUAAUAUCAUACUAAUUAUUGUGGUCUAUUGGUUAAACUCUUCUUUUAUGACCCCCGUGUCUUGAGUUCAACACUCUCAUAUACUCCCUAUGUUUUUUAAUAUAAGUUGUUUUAAAGAAUUUUUAUGUUCCAAAUUAUAUAACAUUUUUGCUUUUUUAUGUAAAAUUUAUUAACACUUAAUGUUAUAUGACCAAUAAUAAUAUACCUUCUAUUUUAUUAUUGGUUGAUUUGUGGUUAAAUAAAUAAUUAAUGAUGUUUUUUUAAAAAAAUAUAAAAAACUAAUGAUUUUCUUAAUCUAUGUACACAAUUCUAAAACGGUUUAUAUUAAAAAAUGGAGAAAGUAUCAUUUUAUCUAUAUAUUAAAUGAAUAUUGACCCAUGUGGAACAUAAACCUAGCUCCCCCAAUGUGUAUAACUCAUAUUGAAUUAAAUGAACUUUCAACCUAAAACCAAUUGGUGAUAAACGGAUUGGUAUAUCUAUUUUAUACAUUACUUAGGAUGCAUUCCAACUAUACUAAUGUAAGAGACUUAGCCUCUAAUACAAUCCUCGAGAUGAUAGUUAUUUAAACGUCAAUCUCAGAAUGUUUGAAAAAUGAUCAAUGUGCCAAUUUUGGCUCAAAUAGAUUUGGAUCGGAUUGGACUGUAUGGAUCGAGCUCAUACAAAUACACUACUAGAUUUAAGUUUGAACUAGAUUCUGAUUCAUUAAGACGCAUAUUAUGUUUUUUUUUUAUAAAACCGGCGAAUUAAAUUAUUGUGAUGUUAAACAGUUAUAUUUAGAGGGUGAAUGGUUGAGUUUUAUCUCUUUAUCUUAGUUUUAUUUAUUUUUAAAUCAGUAAAAUUUAUUGUUAAUAGUUAAAUCCUAUAUCAAAUUUUUAUUAAUUAUUACCAAUCAUGCUUUACAUUUAUAUUUAAAUCUACAACAAAAAAAAAGUAAAAACAAUUAUGUAUUUUAGACAAAAAAAGCUUACAUCUUAUUUUAUAGGUUCCAGAAUCUGUAAAAUAAAAAUUACUAUUUAUUAUAUCAAAUAAAUUAGAUAAUCAUAAUAAAAACAUAUAUAAAUAUUUUUAUUUAAUUUUGAGUGCUUUUAAAUUAUCGAAAUAUUUUAAAUAACAUAAAUAUUAUUUACAUAUCACAUUUUACAUAACAGUAAACUUUGAUUAUUUCAUAUAAAAAAUAGUUAAUAUAAAUUAUUUUAAUUGAUAAAAAAAAUAUUUAAUAUAUAGAUCACAUAUUUUAUUUUAAAAUAUCUACAUCUUAUAUAUUUUACAGUGAUAGCAAAUUUACCUAAUACAAAAAUCUCUGCAAAAAAAAUUUGCAUUAACAAUUUUACAUCUACAACCAACUUAUCAAUAUCUAAACUCUUACAAUUCAUAAAUGUCGUUUGUCGUUCAGAUGCAUAAUUACCAGUUUGGUUUUCAGAGUAAUAGUUAAGUUUGUUCAUAUUAAUGGCAAAAAAAAAAUUACAGCUAAAUUUUACAGACACGGUCAAAACCAAUCAUCACAUUAAAUCAUUAAUGUUUUGUUUUGGACUUGUAUUACUAAUGUAGUGAUCAGUCAUAUCCGGUUUUAUUAUUACUUAUGUAUAAACGUGACAAAUUCCAUGGAAAAUAACUUGUGUGUAUAAUAUCAUGUGAAGAUAACUUUGUGUAUAAUAAUCAGUUCGAAUAUUCUAAUUUUAAUGUGAAGAUUGUAAAUAUAUUUAUCGUUAAGUUUUUGAAGAUAUUUCUCUCUGUAAAAUAGUAAAUAGUAGGGCUGGGCAAAUAAACCGAAUCCAAAAACCCGAUCUAAAUCCGAUCCGAUAAAAAUGAAUCCGAACCGAUCCGAACCCGACGUAAAUAUCGAAUAAAUCUUGUUUUGUGGUAUUUCGGGUUAUGGGUAUUAUCCGAACCGAACCCGAAUCUAAAUAGAGUUUAGACCAAAAAAAAUAGUAAAUAGAGUUGUUGUUUGUUACCCACCAAUAAAUGUUUUUAAAAAUAUAAGGAAGUUCAGAUUUUUAGUUAUUAUAAUUUAACACAUUCGACUGAAUAUUCCUUUCGUGUUCAAAUUUAAUUAAUUUUAUAUUUAUUGUAAUUCAAUUAUGUAGUUUUAAGAUUAGAUUGUUUAGAUUCGGUAAUGAUUGUAGGAUUUAGAAUUUAAAAACUUAAUAAUAUACUCAAAACAAAAUCUGCGAUUAAUAUUCUAAAUUAAUGGAUUUGGGAGGAUAUUAUUUAAUUAUAAUGUAAAUAAAGUAAAACAAAAAUUAAAAAAGAGGUACAGUUUCUUUUAAUUAUAUUUCGUAUAAUUAAGUGGAAUUGGCAGACUACAUUUCGAACAUAACAUCAUAGCUAUUUUUAUAUAUAGUUUAGAUUUUUUUUAAAUGAACAUAUGUUAAUAAAAAUACACAACUUACAUUUUUAAAAUCUAACAUUGUAAAACGAAAUGUCUAUAUUGAUUAUGUUUGGUAUAAGUAUAAUGGACGAAAAAAAAGAAGUAUAAUGGACGACCAAGUAUAUAUCAAAUCUAGUAAUUUAUAUAAUUGAGUGUUAAGGAAAAUUUUGGUAUAUGAAAAAUAAAGGACAAUGUCAGUAUACUAAAUUUUAAAAAAUAAUGUAAAAAAUAAAGUUUUAGAUUCAUGGGUGUAUUUUGUCACUUGGUUAAAAUUUGUUCAUAUCAUUCGAGACAGUAUAUAAAUUCCGUAAAGAACAUGCCUUUUUAUAUAUCACUAGAGAUUUUUUCCGCGCUUCGCGCGGAUUGUGUCUUAUAAAUUUAUUUUAUUUAUAAUAUUAUUUGUCGGUUUGUUUCUUUUACAUUAAUUUUUUGUUUUUCCAAUGUUAGUUUUUCUUAAUUUAAAUUUAUAUGUUUAUAGUUUUUCUUUUUUCUGGUUGUAGAUGGAGAAUUAUAUUUUUUAUUGAUGGUUUUUGUAUGUGACAUAAACUUUUUGAAAUUUUAAAAUAAUGUUAUAUAUAGUACAAUUAACACAUUAAAGAAGAGAAACAUAUUUAAGCACAUUUUAUACAGGUUUUAUAUACAUAAUUUUAAACAUUAUAUAUGUAUAUAUUAUAAGUUUGAAACAUGUAAAUGCUUUCUAAAGUUAAAUACUUGUUCUGAGUUUACAUAACUUAUCGAAAGUUUUAUCUUUUUUAAAUUUAAAUCACAGAAAAAAAAAUUGAGAACUCUAUUCAUAUAAGAUUCACAUCUAUGCAUUUUGACAAAGAAGAAUUUUAGCCAUCUUUAGUUUCGGAAUGAAUCAACUUCAGUCAUAUACACUAUAUUUUCUCUAUGAUUCAAAUCUUACAAUUUUAAUAUAUGUGCAGAUUUCCAUGUGAAAAAACACGCACGCCAUCUAUCGUUCAACCUAUUACUUUUUCCAAAGUAAACACUAUAAUCCUCGUUUGGUUAGCUCCACAAACUAAUCUCUUUGGAUCAGUGUAACCUUUCAGAAAAUGAUAAUCUUAACAUCUUACAAAAAAAACAACAAAUAUUGACUUAUUUAUAUGAAUAUAUAUUAUUUUAAAUCAUUAUAGUGGACGAAGAAAGCACCAUAAUUUGUACAACAAAUUUUCUUAGAUUCACUUCAUCAUAUUCACCAUUUUACCAUUUUAAUUACAUAAUUUUAUAUGAGCUUCUUCACCUUUCCCGGUUAUUUUCUCUUUAUUUAUAACUACAAUAUAAAGUUAUAAACUAUAUAUAUAUUAUAAAUUAAUAAUUUAUUUACUCUUAAAGUAACGAUUAAAAAUAGAACAUAAUUCAAUAUAGAUAUAUGAUUCUAUUAAUAAAUUAGCAGUUACAAAUUUGAAAUUUUUAGAAAUAUCAAAAGUUUUAUAUUAGUUAAUUAUCUUCUAAAUGACAUUUAUUUUUAAUUCUUUUUGGAUGAGAAUAUUUUGGCUGAGGUGGAUAGUUUCAAAAGUCUUGAAUUUAGUCCCUUUUAUAUAGUAGGAUGUAUUUUAUAAUUGAUUAGUUCCCUUCCCAUACAGUACAUGAAUUUAUUGAGCCAACAUGUUUAGUCGAAUGUAUGUAGGUGCUAUUAAGUCAAAUUAUAAUAGGUUUGUUAUUAUUAUUAUUAUUUAGAUUAAUAAGUUUGUUAUUAUUAUUGUUAUUAUUAUUGUUAGAUUAAUAACUUGUCAUAUAUAAUUUUAAUAGUCUUUUCUGUUAAGCUAAAUGGAUAUCCCCUCCCCCCUCUCCCCUCGAAACGAUGGUUAUUAAUUUGAACAUCAAUUUUGAAAUGUUCGGAAAAUGGUCGAGUACCAAUUUUGGAUCGGGUUGAUGUGGAUUGGAUAAGAUUACUUGUAUCAAAUUCUAAAACUAUGUUAAAUUAGAUAAACUUUUAACUUAUAAUUAAUUGGUGAUAAAUAGAUUAUUUUAUCUAUAUUAUAUUUGAGAUCUUUUUGAACUUCCGAUGUAGAGAUUUUGUCUCUAAUAUUUUUGCAUUUGAAAAUGAUAAAAUUUUUACCAUUUUUAUAUUUUUUUUUAACAUGUUCAUUUCAAAAACAAAUUGCUUAACAUGUAUGGUCUGAAAAAUAUAAUGUAUACAAUAUAUUAAUAAUCAUGAGUUAACAGAAAACAGAGGAAGUAUUUAUACCCCCUACUUUUAGCGGGAUUCAAGUCCAACUAAUCAUACACACAGUAAAUACGAAAUUAAAUGAUUAAAUAAAAUACAUUUAAAUAAUAACCUAACUCCCCAACACUAUUUAAUCAACAUGGAUAAUACGGGAGACAAAACCCUUGUACUAAUAUAUAAGAGCCAAGUAUGGCUGAAAGCAAGAUUGGGGUAUAGUCAAAAUAAGAGCGAGAAGACAUGGCGAGAGAGAAGCAAGCAGAGAUAACAAUAAUGGAGCCGCUUAGCCCAGUGUCUCGGCUGUUUGUUUCGCCCGGUUUCUAUGGCGUCAUUGUCUUUACUUUAGGGUUUAAAACUAGAUGCAACUCAUCUGCCAUUGUUGAAGGUAUCAAGAACACAUGGAUCAAGCUUCCCCGCUUCUCUAGCAAAGUGGUAAACAUAUAUUAUUAUUAACAUGCUUUAAUGGAAACAUUGUUCUUAGUUAGUCACCAAAUGCAAACGAUGUGGUUAUAUAUCUAACCAUUUCCAUGUGCUCUACAAAUAUUUUACGGUUUUUUUUUGCUAAGAAGGUUAAUAUUCAUAUAAUAAAAAGUUAAGACUUUACAAAUGCACAUAUUUUACUUUGCAGGGAGAUUUCAUUGAUCUAUAUAUAUAUAAAUUCUUUGGGUUCACUGAUCCUCAUAAUGUCAUUCGCUCUCUUUUAUCUAUUUAUUUAUUUAAUAAACUAUGCGUAAUCAUCUAUUUGAUCAUAAAUAAAUGUUUCAGGUGAUGGACGAUAAGAAAAAUGGAGAAGCGGUUUGGGUUCCUGUUAAUGUUCGAGUAGAAGAUCAUGUUUUUGUUCCGGACAUUGAUCAUUCUGACAUUACAAACCCUGAUCAAUUUAUAGAAGACUAUACGUCAAACAUAGCUAACACUCUAAUGGACAUGUCCAGACCUUUAUGGGAAUUUCAUGUACUGAAUAUAAAGACAUCAAACGCAGAAUCUUUAGGUAUAGGGAAGUUCCAUCAUUCACUCGGCGAUGGGAUGUCUCUUAUGUCUCUUCUAUAUGCUAGUUCAAGAAAAAUAUCAGACCCCAACGCUCUACCUACUACUGCGACUACAAGAAAACAAGUUGGUUCCAAUGAUAAUUGGUGGCUGGUUGCCAGAUUUUUGCUUAUGAUUAGAGUCAUUUUUACAACUUUUAUUGAACUGUUCAAGUCCCUCCUUACACUAUGUUUUAUGCGGGAUACUAAAACUCCUCUCAUGGGUAAACCUGGAGAUCGAAAUGGACCUAGAAAGAUUAUCCAUCGGAUAGUAAGCUUUGAUGAUGUCAAGUUCGUGAAGAACACAAUGAAAAUGGUAGAUAUAUUAGUACUUUUUAUCAGUUCUACUUGUCUUGAUCAUUAGUCGUUUUCUAAACAAAUUAUGCCUCAUUGUAGAAAGUCAAUGAUGUUCUUCUUGGAAUAACACAGGCAGGUCUCUCAAGAUAUUUAAGAAAAAAAUAUGGUAAUUUCAGACUCAUUCUUUCAUUAUAGUGCUAUUGGCCUUAUAUAAUCAACAUGUUACAAUGUUACCCAAGUAUCUGUAUGUUAAACAGAUGUAAAGCCUGAGAAAUAAAAGAGUGAAUAUAUGAUCCAAUGUAUAUUGAUACUACACUAUUAGUUUUUUUUGUAAUAUAUCAUUAACAAUAAUCUUUAAUAUUUUAAAAACAAGGUGACGAUCCAGUGACUGAGAAGAAAAAAUCCUUAGAGGAAACACGUCUCCGGGGUACAAUAGCUGUAAAUCUAAGACCAGAAACAAAGAUCAAGGUAAAAUAAGUAUUACAACGAUCUUAUAGUUGCAUCUUACAAAACGAUAUGUUUUACGAUAAUUAGAGUGCAAUAACUUGAUAAAAUUAAAUAUGAAACUGUAGGAUCUUGCUGAUAUGAUGACAAAAGGUUCAAAAUGUAGAUGGGGUAAUUUCAUAGGUGUUGUUAUAUUUCCUUUAUGGAUAAGAUCUGAGGAUGAUCCAUUGGAAUACGUCCGGAGAGCCAAAGCUACUAUGGAUAAGAAAAAAAUCUCCAUGGAAGCACUUGUGUUAUAUGGAUUCAUCAAAUUUACAAUGAAAAUAUUUGGCGUAAAGGUAAAAUAUCAAGCUAUUUCAUCCAUAUAUGUAUACUUUAUGUAAGUAAAAAGAAUGUACAACUUUUAAUGACAGGCCGUAGAAGCUAUCACUAAGAGGGUAUUUAGCCAUACAACGCUGACAUUUUCUAAUGUGUUGGGUCCAAACGAAGAUAUAAGUUUCUUUGAACAUCCCAUGUGUUACGUCGGAGCAAGCGCAUUGAUUGGACCACAAGUAAGUAUAAGUCUAUAAUCAUGUCAUUCUAGUACUUGCAUAUUAAAUCUGUUUUUUUUCCUUUCUGAAAUCAUAUACAAGUACUUGCUGACAUUUAAUAAAUGUGUUUACGUUUGUGGUUGGACUAGGCUCUUAUCAUCCAUUAUGUAAGCUACGCAGACAAGAUUAUCAUCAAUCUAGCUGUCGAUACAACAGUGAUUCCAGACCCUCAUGUACUAUGUGAUAAUUUGGUAGAGUCGCUUGAAAUCAUCAAACUUUCUCUCUUGGAGAAAGGACUUCAUAAAAUGGAGGUUUGAGACGUUCACGCGAUAUAAAAAUGGAAGUCUACGUUAAAAAGAUAACAUGUGGUGAAAUGUACUAUGUUAGCUUUUGUAUUUGUUAUGAUGUUGUGUUUAUUAUAUUAUAUAUAUACAUAUUCUACUUUGGUAGUAUAAACUUUUUAUUUGUAUACGAAAAAAGCAGACAUGUAGCAUUUACACAAGACGACCAAACGUAGACCACAAGCACCACUAACAUAUAUAUUUACAUAAUCAAUACCUAUUUUCAUCAGCAAACAGAAUUCGAUUCCCUUUUGCCUUGGAAUUAAAGGAACUGUUCAAGGGCUUGUGUACCAUUGCUGUUCAAGAGCUUCAUCAUGAAGUUAAACCUGGUGUCUGGAGAUGUCUUUGGUUGUGGCCAAUUUGCUCCUUCAGGGAUCUUGAUGCAUCUGUAACUUUGAUCUUUAUAAAGUUUCGUGGCCUCCGUAUAGCUCGACAUCCCCAGUUCGUGGCUUAACCCUCUGCUUUCCAGAUCAGUACUCUCGUAUCUGGAGAUGCCUUUGGUUGUGGCCAAUUUACUAACUGUCACAGCGACUAAACAUAUCCCUCUGGUAGGCACCCUGGUGGAACGGAGAAACCCAUUAUCAUCGCCAUCAACCUAUCAACUCUGAGGACAAGAUCAAGAGGGAACGAAUGUCCAGGGAAGAAGGAGGUGCAAUGUGUUUCUGCCACUUCCCACCAGUCCUCCACUCUAUCUUCCCGGACAACAAUUUCAGGUGAAACCACUGGGAAAAGAUCAAGUACAAACCUAAAAGAAAAGAACAACUUUAUCGUCUACUGACGAAUCAAAUCAUGUCGUAUGUUAAAGGAUGGGAGCUUUCAUGGAUCAUCAAUUACGACUAGAAGCGAUCUCUUCGAAUGAGACUCCCCCUUCCAUCUAUCAGUCAAAUUCUGUCUGUCCUCAGAACUUACAUGACUCUACUCUCCAGACAUAAAAAACAGUUUUGUUUGCUAUCCUGAUGUAUCUUGGGUAGAUAAUUAGCACUCUGCAGGCAUAGUCUGGGGCUUUAAAAGACUCCUGUAAUAAAAUCCUGCUUCAGGGAUCAGCUUCAACUGAUGCUACAGAUACAGUUUCAAUUUUGUUGGUGUAAGGUAAUGUUUUGUGGAAACUGCUCAGCUCUUUUUGUGGAGACUGUUCAGAAGCUGAUAGACUUGCAACUCAAGCUAGAACAGGAAAAUAACCAUAUGUUGUAAAGUGGAUCACAUAAAUAUUUGUCUGAGUCUGUUUGUACAACACUUAUAUAAGUUUCUCUAUAAAUAAUAAUAAUAUUUAAGGUUUAACUAUAAUUAGAAUUGUAACUCGAUCAAAAUCAAAGCCCGUGAAAUCUAACUCGUUGUUCUCUAGAACUCAGUCUAGUAGCAGCUAACGGAGAGUCAUAGAUCAUAAUGCCUUAGGUCAAACCUGAUUUGCUAGACGGAGUUUGAGAAACAGAAACCGUCGGCGAGAGAAGCCAUGACGGUUUUGCUUGAUCAAAGCUGAUGGGGAUAGCUCCGUCGUCCCCAUUCCCCAACGGCGUGCUCUGCAUUUCUCACCGCACUAUUACGGAGAUGGCAACAACAAAACCGGACGGUUCAACCGGUUCAAUUCGUUAGUAAGAAUCUUGAAAAAAUUACAAUAUGACAUACUUUUUCGUUCUCUACUAGGUGAUUUUCCAGUGAUUAUGCAUGGAUAUAAAUAUUUUUAAAGUAAAUAUAUUAUAAUAAUUGAUUGUUAAUUACUUUUAAUUUUAAAUUAAUUUAUAAUUGAGUAUUUGCAUGCUAUAUACAAGAAAAACUAUUUAAUUAGCUAACCGGUAUAUGCGACUGUUUAGUACUGUUAUUUUUUCGUUAUUUCCAAUUGUAUCCCUCUAUUAUAGCCACUGCACAAUAUUAUUUCUCGCAUUUAGGACAACACACAAUCAUCUCUUUCCUCUUUGAUUCAUCACCGUAAAUAAACAAAGACAACACACAGAAAAAAUAAAUCAUUGAUAACUUAAGACACGAGUUGGUGUACAUUUUCUAAUCGUGAGAUGAUCAAUGGCAGAGAGAUGCUUAUUAAUUCCAGUAAAGUUGCAGCACACCAAGAAUCAUUUGACAGAGAAGCCAUGUCUUGUGAUCCUAGCUUGAGUGGCUUAGGUUCAGAUAGCUUACAAGUUAAGUAAAUAAAUCGCCUAAAAUAGAAAUAAGAAUCCUCACUUCUUUUUUUUAACGCUGAUAAGAAUCUUCACGUUAUCUUCUAAUCCUGUAUAUUAAAAGAUAAACAUUAUAACAUUUAAGGUAGUCAUGUGUCAUCACCACAAUGAGUCUUAAAAUCUUUAGAAAAAUAUAUUGGUUCAUCUAAAUAUAUAAUAAGUUUUUUAUUAAACUAACCAUAAAUUCAUUAUUAAUGUCUUUCACUUUUUCUUUAAAUAAAAACUACGGAAUUACCAAAUGUAGCUAAAGUAUAUAUAUGAAAAUUAAUGAUUUUGAAUAAUAAAUAUUUGAUAAAAGUUAGUGUAUUCUCUAUCAUAUUUGUUUAAUUUUAAAUUAAUAAAAUAAAUUAAACAACUACAUUAACCAUAUAAUAAAAUUUAUAUUUUUCUUUAUAUGUUAUAUUUGAUUUUUUAAACGAUUAUAAAUUACUACUCUCUUUUAUCUAUUUAUUUAUUUAAUAAACUAUGCGUAAUCAUCUAUUUGAUCAUAAAUAAAUGUUUCAGGUGAUGGACGAUAAGAAAAAUGGAGAAGCGGUUUGGGUUCCUGUUAAUGUUCGAGUAGAAGAUCAUGUUUUUGUUCCGGACAUUGAUCAUUCUGACAUUACAAACCCUGAUCAAUUUAUAGAAGACUAUACGUCAAACAUAGCUAACACUCUAAUGGACAUGUCCAGACCUUUAUGGGAAUUUCAUGUACUGAAUAUAAAGACAUCAAACGCAGAAUCUUUAGGUAUAGGGAAGUUCCAUCAUUCACUUGGCGAUGGGAUGUCUCUUAUGUCUCUUCUAUAUGCUAGUUCAAGAAAAAUAUCAGACCCCAACGCUCUACCUACUACUGCGACUACAAGAAAACAAGUUGGUUCCAAUGAUAAUUGGUGGCUGGUUGCCAGAUUUUGGCUUAUGAUUAGAGUCAUUUUUACAACUUUUAUUGAACUGUUCAAGUCCCUCCUUACACUAUGUUUUAUGCGGGAUACUAAAACUCCUCUCAUGGGUAAACCUGGAGAUCGAAAUGGACCUAGAAAGAUUAUCCAUCGGAUAGUAAGCUUUGAUGAUGUCAAGUUCGUGAAGAACACAAUGAAAAUGGUAGAUAUAUUAGUACUUUUUAUCAGUUCUACUUGUCUUGAUCAUUAGUCGUUUUCUAAACAAGUUAUGUCUCAUUGUAGAAAGUCAAUGAUGUUCUUCUUGGAAUAACACAGGCAGGUCUCUCAAGAUAUUUAAGAAAAAAAUAUGGUAAUUUCAGACUCAUUCUUUCAUUAUAGUGCUAUUGGCCUUAUAUAAUCAACAUGUUACAAUGUUACCCAAGUAUCUGUAUGUUAAACAGAUGUAAAGCCUGAGAAAUAAAAGAGUGAAUAUAUGAUCCAAUGUAUAUUGAUACUACACUAUUAGUUUUUUUUGUAAUAUAUCAUUAACAAUAAUCUUUAAUAUUUUAAAAACAAGGUGACGAUCCAGUGACUGAGAAGAAAAAAUCCUUAGAGGAAACACGUCUCCGGGGUACAAUAGCUGUAAAUCUAAGACCAGAAACAAAGAUCAAGGUAAAAUAAGUAUUACAACGAUCUUAUAGUUGCAUCUUACAAAACGAUAUGUUUUACGAUAAUUAGAGUGCAAUAACUUGAUAAAAUUAAAUAUGAAACUGUAGGAUCUUGCUGAUAUGAUGACAAAAGGUUCAAAAUGUAGAUGGGGUAAUUUCAUAGGUGUUGUUAUAUUUCCUUUAUGGAUAAGAUCUGAGGAUGAUCCAUUGGAAUACGUCCGGAGAGCCAAAGCUACUAUGGAUAAGAAAAAAAUCUCCAUGGAAGCACUUGUGUUAUAUGGAUUCAUCAAAUUUACAAUGAAAAUAUUUGGCGUAAAGGUAAAAUAUCAAGCUAUUUCAUCCAUAUAUGUAUACUUUAUGUAAGUAAAAAGAAUGUACAACUUUUAAUGACAGGCCGUAGAAGCUAUCACUAAGAGGGUAUUUAGCCAUACAACGCUGACAUUUUCUAAUGUGUUGGGUCCAAACGAAGAUAUAAGUUUCUUUGAACAUCCCAUGUGUUACGUCGGAGCAAGCGCAUUGAUUGGACCACAAGUAAGUAUAAGUCUAUAAUCAUGUCAUUCUAGUACUUGCAUAUUAAAUCUGUUUUUUUUCCUUUCUGAAAUCAUAUACAAGUACUUGCUGACAUUUAAUAAAUGUGUUUACGUUUGUGGUUGGACUAGGCUCUUAUCAUCCAUUAUGUAAGCUACGCAGACAAGAUUAUCAUCAAUCUAGCUGUCGAUACAACAGUGAUUCCAGACCCUCAUGUACUAUGUGAUAAUUUGGUAGAGUCGCUUGAAAUCAUCAAACUUUCUCUCUUGGAGAAAGGACUUCAUAAAAUGGAGGUUUGAGACGUUCACGCGAUAUAAAAAUGGAAGUCUACGUUAAAAAGAUAACAUGUGGUGAAAUGUACUAUGUUAGCUUUUGUAUUUGUUAUGAUGUUGUGUUUAUUAUAUUAUAUAUAUACAUAUUCUACUUUGGUAGUAUAAACUUUUUAUUUGUAUACGAAAAAAGCAGACAUGUAGCAUUUACACAAGACGACCAAACGUAGACCACAAGCACCACUAACAUAUAUAUUUACAUAAUCAAUACCUAUUUUCAUCAGCAAACAGAAUUCGAUUCCCUUUUGCCUUGGAAUUAAAGGAACUGUUCAAGGGCUUGUGUACCAUUGCUGUUCAAGAGCUUCAUCAUGAAGUUAAACCUGGUGUCUGGAGAUGUCUUUGGUUGUGGCCAAUUUGCUCCUUCAGGGAUCUUGAUGCAUCUGUAACUUUGAUCUUUAUAAAGUUUCGUGGCCUCCGUAUAGCUCGACAUCCCCAGUUCGUGGCUUAACCCUCUGCUUUCCAGAUCAGUACUCUCGUAUCUGGAGAUGCCUUUGGUUGUGGCCAAUUUACUAACUGUCACAGCGACUAAACAUAUCCCUCUGGUAGGCACCCUGGUGGAACGGAGAAACCCAUUAUCAUCGCCAUCAACCUAUCAACUCUGAGGACAAGAUCAAGAGGGAACGAAUGUCCAGGGAAGAAGGAGGUGCAAUGUGUUUCUGCCACUUCCCACCAGUCCUCCACUCUAUCUUCCCGGACAACAAUUUCAGGUGAAACCACUGGGAAAAGAUCAAGUACAAACCUAAAAGAAAAGAACAACUUUAUCGUCUACUGACGAAUCAAAUCAUGUCGUAUGUUAAAGGAUGGGAGCUUUCAUGGAUCAUCAAUUACGACUAGAAGCGAUCUCUUCGAAUGAGACUCCCCCUUCCAUCUAUCAGUCAAAUUCUGUCUGUCCUCAGAACUUACAUGACUCUACUCUCCAGACAUAAAAAACAGUUUUGUUUGCUAUCCUGAUGUAUCUUGGGUAGAUAAUUAGCACUCUGCAGGCAUAGUCUGGGGCUUUAAAAGACUCCUGUAAUAAAAUCCUGCUUCAGGGAUCAGCUUCAACUGAUGCUACAGAUACAGUUUCAAUUUUGUUGGUGUAAGGUAAUGUUUUGUGGAAACUGCUCAGCUCUUUUUGUGGAGACUGUUCAGAAGCUGAUAGACUUGCAACUCAAGCUAGAACAGGAAAAUAACCAUAUGUUGUAAAGUGGAUCACAUAAAUAUUUGUCUGAGUCUGUUUGUACAACACUUAUAUAAGUUUCUCUAUAAAUAAUAAUAAUAUUUAAGGUUUAACUAUAAUUAGAAUUGUAACUCGAUCAAAAUCAAAGCCCGUGAAAUCUAACUCGUUGUUCUCUAGAACUCAGUCUAGUAGCAGCUAACGGAGAGUCAUAGAUCAUAAUGCCUUAGGUCAAACCUGAUUUGCUAGACGGAGUUUGAGAAACAGAAACCGUCGGCGAGAGAAGCCAUGACGGUUUUGCUUGAUCAAAGCUGAUGGGGAUAGCUCCGUCGUCCCCAUUCCCCAACGGCGUGCUCUGCAUUUCUCACCGCACUAUUACGGAGAUGGCAACAACAAAACCGGACGGUUCAACCGGUUCAAUUCGUUAGUAAGAAUCUUGAAAAAAUUACAAUAUGACAUACUUUUUCGUUCUCUACUAGGUGAUUUUCCAGUGAUUAUGCAUGGAUAUAAAUAUUUUUAAAGUAAAUAUAUUAUAAUAAUUGAUUGUUAAUUACUUUUAAUUUUAAAUUAAUUUAUAAUUGAGUAUUUGCAUGCUAUAUACAAGAAAAACUAUUUAAUUAGCUAACCGGUAUAUGCGACUGUUUAGUACUGUUAUUUUUUCGUUAUUUCCAAUUGUAUCCCUCUAUUAUAGCCACUGCACAAUAUUAUUUCUCGCAUUUAGGACAACACACAAUCAUCUCUUUCCUCUUUGAUUCAUCACCGUAAAUAAACAAAGACAACACACAGAAAAAAUAAAUCAUUGAUAACUUAAGACACGAUCUAUUGAGAAACAAGAUUUUCCAACUUCGAGAUCCCUGAUUUUGAGGUAAACCAGAUCAAAAUACGAUCUCUGAUGGUUGUUAUCAUGGUAGCCAUGUUCCGAUGUACCACGUAUGUCCAUAGCGGGGGUUGCUGAGCCAACAACCCGAGUUGGCUAGAUAUUAAAGACGAAAGAGAUAAUUGUGAGAAAUAACAGAGAUGAUUGUGAUUGCGAGGAUCAGAUGUUGUGGAAAAAUAGGGUCCGAUUUUUAAGGUUUAGAUCUUGAGACCCGACUAGUUUUCUUCUUCAGUCAAUAUCCAGAUAUGCGCUCACUCACACCACACAAAGCCGCUGUUGUAGCCCGGUGAAGGUCUCGAUGGUUUCUGAAACAAAGAAAAAGAAAAGCUUGAAACAAAGAAAUGUAAUUACACAUUUGGUCAGAUGUAAUUAAAUAUUUCAUAUAGGCUAUAAGCACGUGCAUGAGGAUUAAUUUGUAAUUCCACAAAUGACUCAUACCCACUUACCUAAUUAAAGAAAUUUUAUAGCCAUUUACCUGAUUUCCACUUUUUCCAUGUAUAUUCAGCUAAAUCACUCUUUAUAAUUUAUAUGCAUCAUUUAUUUUAAUAAUAUUAUGUUACUUUAAUUAUACAUAUGAUUUUUUAUAUGUUAUAUCUAAUCGAUUUUGUUUUUUUUCAGUCGAUUUAGUUAUCAUUUGGGUAAAUUGGAUUGCAUCUAUGAAUUCAACUGUAAUAUUUUUAUUCUAUAUAUUAAAAUUUUGGUUAAUUUCUUAUUUGCAUUUAGGUGGUUGUUAUCUUAGAUAUGUGAAUAUAUUUUAUGAAAAUUAUGUAUAACUUAAGAUAUAUUGUGCUUAGAAUGAAAUAAAAAUAAAUAAACUAAAGUGUCUGAUUCCAAAUUACAUAAAUUAAUAUAACGAAACGAUAAUAUUCUGAAGUCUCAUGCAUAUAUAUAAAUUUUACGAAAGAACUAAAUUGUAACAGUUGGUUAAUAUUCUAUUUUUAUUUUUAAUAUGCUUUGAGUUGUCAUAUGAUUUAUAUUUAUAAAAUAAAUUACUAUUCUUAUAAAAUUAUAUAUUCUUAUCGUAGUUAAAUCUUUGAUUUUAAAUAUAAGUUGGAUUAGUCAAAUCACUCAUAUUGUGAGUAUAUUGAAUUACAUAUUCUUUAAAAUUCAAAAUGAAGUAUAAUUAUUUUUUAUUAUAAUUAAGUCGUGUAUGUAUUUUCAUAAUAUUUAUCAAAAUUAUGUGUUGGUCCUUGACUUAUAUUUACCAAAGUGACGAAUACAAGGUCCUUGACACCACUACAAAGAGACAUGAGACCAUUCACCUUCGCCGAACAAUGAACCACGACCAGAAACGACGGCGAGAACGCCAGACGCCGGAAUGAAAGUCGCACAAGCUUCCCUCCACCAAAAGCAACGAAAUCCAAAUUAGAUCUAGGAAAAAAAACUAUCUACUCUUGAAGCCAUAAACGUCGACUACAACCACUAUCACACUUUCGUCGUGAAACCACAGAAAACUGAAAUGCCAUCUGACUAAGCAAUAACCAGACCGACGACAAAACCCUAACGCAGAUCUAAUGCCAUAUUAAAUGGAGGAGUGAGACAGAUGGAGAAGCAAUCGAGACUAAACAAAAGAAAAAGAGAAAAAGUCUGUAUCGCCGGAUGCGCGUUCACACACUGCCAGACACCGGAGCGAUAUUGAUAUGUAGUUCUAACCUUGGAGAGGAUAAAGGAGAGAGAAAGUAUUUUGGGAAAAUUGUUUUUUUAGAGCAAAAAAAUGGUAACUAUGUCCCUUUAUACUAAUUUAUACUACUUUAUGUCCCAUUAGACUAAUUUUUUUCAAAAUGGCAGUAAUGCCCUUAAAAUUGUAAUUUUUUAUUUCCUUUUCGUUUUUUUUUGUUUUUUUGUUCUUUUUUCGUUUUUUUUUUAUUUUUUUAAAAAAAAAUCGAUUUUUUUUUCAAAAUAUAAAAGUGUAUAUUCCCAAAUAUUUUGUUUCCAUAUUUUUAGGAACUGAUUUCUUAUCCGUAGAAUACAACUAAUAUGUAGAAAUUGGUUUCUACAGUUUUUUAGAAUUAUAGUAAUGUUUCGAUUUUGAUUUCUACAUGUUUUAGAUUUAUAGUAAAUCUGUAGAAGUCGGUUUCUACGUGUUUUAGAUUUAUAUUAAUGUGUAGAUUUUGAUUUCUAAAGAUUUUAGAAUGAUAGGUUAAGCGCGGAAUGUGUAUUCUAAAUAUUUUUAGAAUACUCCUAUUUACGUAGAUCACGUAUUCUAAACAUUGUAGAUUCAAUGAAAAAAGUGGAUUUCGUUUUCUACUUCGUAGAAUGUCAUUUCUACUUUAUUUAGAACAUAAUAUAAAAUUUAUAAUUUUAACUUUUUUAUAACUGGAAAAAAUAUCACUAAGUUCGUAUAGGUAUUUUAUCAAAAGUUACUAUUUUUCCAAUUUUUUUUUGUUUGUAAAACUAUUUAUUAAAUUUAUUUUCAAAAAUAUUAAAGGGUGUUAUAGGAAAAUAUGACACAAAAUAUAGAUUAGUCUAAAGGGACAUAGUUACCAUUUUUUUGCUCUAAAAAAAACAGUUUUCCCAAGUAUUUUUAACUUUUUUAUUUAAAUUAGAAAAAACGUAUUUUCUUACACCAAAUCACACGUUUCUUACACUAGUGGACAAUUCUAGUUUAAAAUCUUAGGAUAAAGGAACAAACAUAAUAUUUAUCAUUACAUGUCACCAUCAUUACCUUCAUAUCAUUAUCAUCAUUUUCCACAAUCAUCAUCAUUCUUAUCAUAUCACCACCAUCAUCGUAACAUAACGGUGAUGCACGUUUGCAUGUCCGUCGACCAAUAGGGUAAUUGCUGAUUACUAUUCGUAAAAUUGAACGAUUUUUUAUAAAAAUGGCGACUUGCGGAUUCUUAUAAUCUUAAAACCUGCAAACCAACAUUUGAUUAGGUUGUAGCAACAUCAAAACGAAAAGACAUUAACUAUUAGUCAUAAUCUAUAAUAAUUAUAUUAUCAACAUCUUCAAUUCAGAAAAAAAAAUCAUAACAUUAAACAUCAUACCACCACCAUCAUCAUCAUCAUACCAUAACCAUCAUCAUCAUCUUUCUACAAAAAUCUGUUUAGUGGUUUGAAUUUUACAAAGACGACUUUCAUAUAAGUUACUUUGUAUAUAAUAUUGAUUGUGUGUGUUUUUAUAUAAAGAAGAACUGUGUUGCAGUUGAAUUUAGCAAAGCUUGUUGUAGAUGAUACUUUCAAAGUUAACUAAAGAAUAGUUAAGGAAGAUCGUAUCGUCAAACAAAUUAUAGAAAGUCUUUUUUUCUACAUUAAUUAUAGAAAGUCUUUACCACGACUUUAAAACAAUCUUUUUUGUAAUCGUUUCAGAUUUCCCGUUCUCAGGUUGAUUAAAUAAUAUUAUAUUUAAAAAACAAUCUUCUUAAUUUGUAUUUAGGUUUUAUAAAAAGAACAAUGGUUGAAAUAUGGAUUGUUAUUUUUCUGUUGCAAAAAAAAAAUAUAUAUAUAUAUAUAUAUAUAUGUGUGUGUGCAUGUUUUUUUGGUAAACAUAUAUAUGCAUGGUUAUUUUGUAGUUAUGGUAUUUGAGCAAAUUUAAGUAAUAUUUAAAUGUAACAAAUUUCAUGAUGUUCGAAGUUUUUGGGGUAUUUGAAAUCAAAAUAGUAAAUUACUGUCAAUUGUUCUUUUGGGGAUUUCUAUAUGUGACAAUUUAUGUGACAAUUUAAAAAUGAAAGUUAAUUCGCAUGUAAAAAAUUCAAUUUUUAUAUCUAUAUAUUAUGUUGAUCCGUCAAAAAUAUCGCAAAUUAUUAUCAAAGUCGUAUUCUAUGCAAUUGAAAUUUUAUAUGUAAAUUAUUAGCAAAGCCUGUUUAUAUGAUUGUUUCAAAGUAAACUAAAGAAUAGUUCAUAAGGAAGAUCGUAAGGUCAAACAAACUAUAGAAAAUCUUAACCUCAACUUUAAAACCAUCUUCUUUGUAUUUAGGUUUUAUAAAACGAACAAUGGCUGAAGUAUGCAUGAUAAAUUUGUAUUUAUGGUAUUUGACCAAAUUUAAGUAUUUAAAUAUAAAAAAGUUUAUGAUUUUCAAAGUUUGUUUUCUAUUUGAAAGCAAUGUAGCUAAUUACCGUCAAAAAAAAUUUUGGUAUUUCAUAAUACUUAAGAUUUCUGUGACAAUUUCAUGUCUUUAGCCAAAAAAAAUGAAAGUUCUCUUACAAAUUUUCAAUUAUUUACAUAUAUUAUGUUGAUCCGUCAAAAAGUUGCAAUUUAUUACCAAAGUCGUAUUCCAUCAAUGUCAGUUAUUCUACUAUCUUCUGCAGUUACCCGUUGGACUUUUUUGUCUUUAUAUUCGUUGUAUCUGCAAAGUGUUUAGACUGCAGUUUUAAAAUCAUGUCUUAUAAAUGAUUAGCAAUCUUUAGGCUGUAUUUAUCCCCAAAAAUACUAUUUAGGAUGUAACAAUAAAUUGUCAAGUGAAAUUACCCAUACAAUAAUAAAUUAAUAAACAGUUUACAAAUGCAAAACGUCUAAAUCCAGAAACGAAUCUCACUUAUUCGCUAUACAGUCGACACUAAACUUAUCACAGCUUUGGUAAAGCAAGAGACCAUCCUUCAAUGUUUAAUCCCAAAACAAAAACAUUAAAUCGUUGUCGCGGAAAUUUUCCAAAACUUGCAUCUUAAUCAUGAGAAACAUACAAAAGGGAAAUUGUACGAAAUAAAUUUCAACAAAAACUGAUGUGGACAAGUUAAAUAUUUCAGAGUUCUGAUUCAAUAAUAAUUUGUAAGCCACUGAACCUUUACCCAAAAUAGAUAUUGUUCAGUCCGACCAAACUGCCAGCUCAAUCUCGAUCCACAAUUCUCGCCACGUAUGUCUCGCCGACAUCAGAAGUGUACUAACCAUAGGUUUUCAAGAUGCCAGAAUAAUAUGUUUCAUUAAAAUAAUAAUAUACAAUAAUUGUAAAAUAUUCGAUUUGGUUUUAUAUAUAAAUUCCAAAAUAUCGUUAAAAUUUAAUAAAUAAACAAUCCAUCAAUUAUUAUGCUUUAGUUAUUUUAUAACGAUUAUACGUUUAUGUCAUAUAAAUAAGAAAUACGAGGAAAAUAUGAAGAAAAACAUACAGAUAAAUAAUUUGAAUAUAUUUUUAGUUUUUGGUAAAAUAAUGAAUUAUGUGAAUGUAAAUGGAAAAUUAUAAAGGUUCUGGUGGGAUAUCUCCCCGGAGGUUAGGAAGAUGUGCUGGGUAUCAUGGCAAAGACUCGCCAAACCGAAGAACGCAGGUGGACUGGGGUUUAGGGAGAUCGAACAAUUCAAUGACGCAAUGUUAGCAAAACUCUCUUGGAGGAUCAUGAAGAACCCGACCUCUCUACUGGCAAAGACUCUUACAGGGAAGUAUUGUGUUCAUGAGUCUUUCCUUGAGUCCCAAGUCCCCUCAAGCACCUCCCAUGGUUGGAGGGGAAUUCUGGUAGGUCGGGACCUGUUGAAGAAGGGUAUAGGAUGGGCUAUUGGGUCAGGCAAGGACGUUAAUAUAUGGACAGAGCCUUGGUUAUCUACCACUGAACCGAUGGCUCCAGUUGGCCCCCCUACGGUUACUAACCAAGCGUGGCGUGUCAGUAGUCUCAUACUACCAGGUACUAAUGACUGGAACUUAGAGGCUAUCAGGAGGACCUUACCACAAUAUGAGGAAUGCAUCCGCAGUCUGAUCCCAAGUGCUUUGCAAGCACCCGAUGAAAUGGUGUGGCUCCCCAAUGCGUCGGGGGUAUACACUACAAAGUCUGGUUAUGCGGUGGCGAAACUCUACAACGGGACACAGGAGGAUAGGGACUUCAAUUGGAAGAAGUGCAUUUGGCAGGUGGAUACUUCCCCAAAAAUCAAGCAUUUCAUGUGGAAGGCAAAUAACAGAGCACUCCCUGUUGGCUCUGUUUUACAAGCUCGAGGUCUAUCGUCAGAGAUUGUAUGCAAGAGAUGUGGGGCAGUGGAGACGGAGCUUCAUGUCAUGCUAAAAUGCCCGUUUGCGUCGAAAGUCUGGGAGCUAGUCCCGUGUAUGUUCAAACCGUCAAUGGAUAACACGGAAUCUAUAUCUUCUCUCUUGCAUCAAUGUAGAAAAAUGCUCUCGCUCCCCCCAUCAGGGCUUGGAACAACCCCGCUGUAUCCAUGGAUUCUUUGGAUCCUUUGGACGAAUAGAAACAAACUGAUGUUUGAAAAUAGGGUGUUUUCUGAGCAGGAAACUGUACUAAAAGCUCUUAAAGAUGCUCGAGCGUGGAAGGCUGCUCAAUCGUGUGAUAAAAUGCCUUCUAUACCACAUUGUGUGGUCCAUCAUUCUCAGUUACCAGUUGCUAAUUCUUACACUUGGUCAUCUUAUUCAGAUGCAGCUUGGAACUCAUCGACAGGGAACUGCGGGAUUGGCUGGCUCCUUCGAGAUGCCGACAAUGCUAUUGCAGAAAGUUCCUCCUCACACCGGCGUUAUGUUCCUUCGGCUCUUGUGGCUGAAGCAUUGGCGGUCAAAGCGGCAAUCACCGCUGCAAUCUCUUCACAUGUCAGUAGCAUUCGUGUCUACUCCGACUCAAAAACCCUCAUUUCGCUCUUGAAUUCUCAAGGACAGGAUGUGGUGCUGAAAGGCGUACUCCAUGAUAUCAAUGUUUUGGCUCGCUCUUUCUCCUCUAUCUCAUUUAUGUUUGUCCCGCGUUUAGCAAAUGUAGAGGCUGACUUGCUUGCUAAAGCAGCUCUCUUUUCCAUCGACUCUGUUUGAAACUUUGUAGAACCAUUUAUGUUUAAGUAAUCUCAGUUGGUUUGCUAAAAAAAAAAAUUAUAAUUGGGUGUCAUCUUGGCAAAAGAAACCCACAGAAGAGAGAAGAGAUCAUGUUUUGGAAUGUUUUUUUCUUAGAUUUCGUCAAAUAAAAUCGUUGCAUUUAUUAUGUGUAUCAGAAAGUACUCACCCCUUACGAUUAGUCUAUGUCCAAGUUCCGUGGCCAAUUACAGUUAGAAACUGCCACUCACAAUUUCUCUAUUGUCACAUUUCCAACUACCACAUUACCUAUUAAUAGUUUCAAAAAAUAAAAACAUUACCGAUUAACAUAGAGUGGAAAAAAGGGUGUAACAUCUCUCGGAGAAUUCUUAAAUUCCAAAAUAGUUUAGAAAACAAAAUAAGUUGUGCUGUCAAGAUAUCCGUAAUAUCUUUAUGCAGUACGAAUCAAUAUAUAUAAGAAAGUCGAGUAACGAUUAGUCUAUGUCGUCGGUUCGUUUAAGAGUGAUACAUCAUCUGUUUGUAAAACUUGACACUCCGCCAAACGCCUCGCGUCAAAUGUCAUAUUGUAUUUAUCUCUGUGUCCAACUGUACUCGGCCAUGGACGGACCUAGCUACGCAUAGAGUAUUUAGAUGUGCCUUCCACAUAUGCCAAUUGAAUAAAAUAUUAUUUUGAUAGAGGCCGAUCGUUUUAGCCAAUGAUUCUAAUAUGGUUUCACAUUUUCCAUUAAUUGUUUCAGGUUCUUGUUUUCUAUAUUUGACAUUCCUUUAGCCAACUCUUUUUUAUAUUUUGUUCCAAAAUAUUUUAAUGUAAAAUUUUCUAUAACUUAUCUCUAUUUUCACCUCAAAAACAAAGAUUAAUAUUUUAUGUGUAAAAGUAUAUAUAUUCUUAUAAGAUAAAAUUAAAAUUUUAUUUAAAAAAUAAUAUAUCAACUUCUUAACUCUUUUAUUUGAAACUAAAACAAAUUGAAUGUCGUAAGCUGACCAGAAGUAGUUUAGUAAAGUUCGUCGACACCGACUUCAUUAUAUGUCAAUACAAGAUAAUCAUUUGUAAUAAAAAAUACUAUUAAAUAGCUUUUAUGAAAAGUAAAACUUUAAACUGCAAACUAGACAAUCACUAUCAUACAUGACAAUUAAAAAAAAUCUCUAACUGAAUCACAUGCAUAUCGUUGUUGUUGAUAAUACGUAUAAGUGAAACAAAGAUACCAGUACUGGUCACAUAACACAACUAAAAAACAAGGCAUUUGCAACGAAAUAUAUCACGGUUUUUUUGUCAAGUUCGAAUAUAUCAAUUUAUCAGUCGUUAUAAAUUGAUAAUCAUCGAAAGCGUUUCUUCCUUUUCUCUCCAUUUUCUUGGGGGAUAUAAAAGCAGCUUGAAACAUUAUUUCGAGGUGUUCUUAGUUUCUCGGCCAUCCAUGGUCGAGUAUCUCUAAAUAUGUGGAGGUAUGUAUAUUAGAGAAAGAGAAAAAGAGAACUUUAGGUAAACUUUCAGAAAACUUUUAAAAAACGUACUGGGUGGCUUUAUAAAAGAAAAGUUCACUUAAUAGGAGGCUUGUCGACCACAUUUGUAGCUAAUGCUACUCGACGGGUAAUCUGACAAUUUGCCUUUUAAAUUUAUAUAAAGAAACUAUAGUGGCUGUGUUUUUUUACCAAACAGUUAAACCUAAAACAUGUUCUGGUAUAACUGGAUAUAUUUUUAAGAUCUUCUUUAAAAAAAUUGGCAUCGAUAGCUAACUUUUACCCAGACGUUUGAUUAAUAUUCGAAGUGAUUAGAGCUUUAGCAUUGCGUUUUCGUAGACCUCUCACGUACGGAUAUAAACUAAAACCUAGUUGUCAAGUAAUACGAAAGGUUUGCAACUCAUGAAAUUAAACCCUAGGAUAACGAGUUCUCUUGUUGUCGUGGAUAGAGUAACUUAAUAGAAAACAUUACUUUUUGUACUGGCACAAAUGAAAAUAAAAUAUGCACUAGACAUUCAAUAACUUGUGAAAAUAACAGUACUCAUUAAAUGGUACGAAAUGUUGUAAUAAUUAGCAAUCGGCCGUGGAGUCAUGGACCAAAAAAAUAGAUUACCAUAAAUAAAAGAGCGAGUGAUAGAAAGCCACAAACGAAGGACAACCAGAGCCGUGCAUGUAUCCAAUUUACAUUAGUGGUCUUCUUUCUUUCAAUAAAACUGCAUUUUUCCUUACCUCUUAUAAUAUUAUAAAUUAUGAGGGGUUUGUAUCCCAUUGAUCUCUUUCUUCGGACGAUUGCCAGAGAUCACAGAUUUAAUUAUUAUGCUAUGGUACUAUGUCUAGUUAUUAUAAAAAAUUAUCUAAAACAGUUUUUUAGCAAAACAUUUUUUUAUAAAUUAUAAAAAAAAAAUUACAUAGAUGAUUUUACAAAACCUCUUAUGAAGAUUCUCGUUGACUAAACCAUCAUAAGAGGCUUUAUAAAAAUCCAUGCCUUAAAAAAACUAUGUAGAUCUUUUCUCUAGUAGUAUGCAUAAUUAGUAUCUUCGAAAUUCGUAACACAUAUAUGCCUCUUAAUGUGAAAAUAUUUAAAACCCCUAAGUUAAAUAUUCACCAUUUGCACAGCCGCUUAUGUAUCAAAAUAAAUUAAAAACUUAUUCUUUAGACAAAAAAUAUAGCAUAUAGUACCUCAGGGCAAAAGAGGAAAACUCUGAAGCCAAUUGUUUCCAUAAAUACACCCACUCACCAUCUAUGCACAUCAGCCACAUCCCUUUUCUCUCUCUCUCUCUUACUCUGUGGAAGCUACAUAAGUAUAUACCGCAUAAACAACUAAACAAUGUCAACAGAUUUGACGGAGGAGGAGUCGUUGUCCGGCAAGGAUUACCAAGAUCCACCGCGUGUUAAGAUUUUCGAGGCGAGGGAGCUAGGAAAAUGGUCCUUCUAUAGAGCAGUCAUCGCCGAGUUCAUAGCUACUCUCCUCUUUCUAUACGUCACCGUCUUGACAGUCAUCGGUUUCAAGAGCCAGACGGAUCUCCAAACGGGUGGUGGAGCCUGCGCCAGCGUCGGCCUUCUUGGCAUCUCUUGGGCCUUCGGUGGCAUGAUCUUCAUCCUUGUCUACUGCACUGCAGGCAUCUCUGGUCUAUUUUCUUCUCUGUUGCUUCCUUAUAAGUAAUAUCCAUCUUUUGCAUCCUCUAUAGAUGUUUUAGUACCAUCGAGCAUUUGGCAGUUAAAACAAUAAUUUUUCAAAUCAACUCCAUUACAUGAUUUUUUUUUAUUAAUCUGGGUAUCCGAGACCUACGAGCCAUUACAUAAUUGCAUAGUUUUUUUUAUUUUUUUUGAAAAGAUAAUUUGCAUAGUUAGUUAAUGAAUAUGCAUCAAUUCAACGUUCUUAAGAGACUCGUAACAAAGAAGCAAUAUUUUAACCAAAAAAACUACUAAAUGAAACAACUAUAGUCCUCUAAUGAUUAGUGAAACACAAUGCUGACCACUAUACACGUGGUAAGAAAACAUAGCUUUCUACAAAAUUUAUAUUCCCACCUGUUUGGCUGUUUCUAAAGAUGUAUGUUUAAGAUUUUUUUUCAAGAAUAUUUAUGUUUUAUUAGUCCUACGUAAAAUUAAUGUUUCAUAUCUUAUAAUUUCACACAUACCAAUUAAGUUCAAUUCAAUGUAAAAUUUAUAUUAAAUCAACAAAUUUAAUUACUUGAUGUUACAUGUGAUAUUCCAAAUAUUUACUGAGAGUGUGUGAAAACACACCGAAGUUUACAAUUUCAAAGGGAAAAACUGAGGAAUGAAAAUACUAACUCUCAACUGUUUUAGCUGGUUUAAUGAAAUUACUAAUCAUGCUGGUUUAUUGAAAUUACUAAUCAUGUAUACAUGUGUGUGUAGGUGGGCACAUUAACCCCGCAGUGACGUUUGGACUAUUCUUGGCUAGCAAGGUGUCGUUGGUGAGAGCUAUAUCAUACAUAGUGGCUCAGUGUCUCGGAGCGACUUGCGGAGUUGGUUUGGUGAAAGUCUUUCAGAAGACUUAUUACAACCGUUAUGGCGGUGGAGCCAACGUCCUCGCCGAUGGAUACAACGUUGGUGUUGGUGUUGGUGCUGAGAUUAUCGGCACUUUUGUCCUUGUCUACACGGUCUUCUCUGCUACAGACCCCAAGCGUAAUGCCCGUGACUCUCACAUUCCUGUAAGCAAUUCCAACUUUUUUUUCUUUACAUUUCAAUAGAAACUAUAACCGUUGAUGUUUAAAUAUAUUUUUAUGCUGAGUUCUUGCAUGAGUCUCACCAAAAAAAUCAAAUAAAAUAUGUGAGAGAAUGUAAAAAUAAAAAUAAAGAGAGGUCUCCUAUAUGAGAAAUCCAGCAAAAAAAUUGAAAGACUCAGUGACUAUUUAUCUUAUUAUGAAUUGUCUAAAUUACAAGUUCUAGAUACCCACAAAGAAACUCUUACCACUAGUAAUAUUCUAAGUAUUUACGGAACAAUUAAAUGUGUACUAGUUUUAAAACGGAACAAUUAAAUGUGUACUAGUUUUAAAGAUUUUAAAACUUGUUAACUCAAAAUAAAAUACAUAAACUAACAUUUAAAACUUAACAACUAACUAAAAAAUAAAGAUGCUAAGUAUUUUGAACUAAAAUUGAUAGUUUUCUUUCUCUUCACUUAUUUUCAAAAAAAAUAUAUAGUACUAGACUACUAGUGAUGCCAAUCAAAGUUGGAAAGAGAUCAGGAUAUUUUUUGAUUCCGUUGUCGCAACUUUGGACCCAGGGACGUAACAGAAUCUAGUGCCAGCUCUAGAAAGCACUAUAAAUACUGAACACGACUUCUUCUAGCCAUUUUGGCCUAAACGAAAAUAAUACGGAGCAAGUAAUAAUAAGUGUAGCGUCUAACUUCUUCUAUGAGAUAAACGACGAAAUUGUGUCCAAUUAUUUUUCAUUCAUCUCUUGUAUCUUUCUUUGGUACCAAGACGUCCUUUCACGAUAUAAAGACAUAACAUCUUUGUGAUCCACGUCCCUUCAUCACAUUCACAUGUCUUUGUAUGUAAAUGGUCCACUGUUCACAACGACCCAUGUGUUAUAUGUAUUUGUACAUACAUGCAUGUUCCAUGAUCUUAACAUCUCCUUUCAAGAAAGAUUCAUUACAAAACCAAAAUCUUUCAGUUAUGCAACAUUGUACACAGUACACACUCAUUCUCUUGACUAUUCUAGUAUACUUGUACCUAUACCUCCUUCAAAUUCAUGUCAAUAUUAUUGUUAAUAACCACACGAAGCUGAUUUGUUUUGUGUUGAAAUGAAUUUAUUGAAGGUAUUAGCCCCAUUGCCAAUUGGAUUUUCCGUGUUCAUGGUUCAUUUAGCCACAAUCCCAAUCACUGGAACCGGAAUUAACCCGGCUAGGAGUUUUGGAGCUGCAGUCAUCUACAACAAUCAAAAGGCUUGGGAUGAUCAAGUUAGUAUUUUUUUACCACUCUAACUAAUACUCGUUUUUGAGCCCUAAUUAGGUUAUGAAUGGAGUUAUAAUUUCUUAUAAUUAAGUGCAGUGGAUCUUCUGGGUGGGUCCAUUUGUGGGAGCAGCCAUUGCAGCUUUGUACCAUCAGUUUGUCUUGAGAGCUGGUGCUAUGAAGGCUUAUGGGUCAGUCAGGAGCCAGCUUCACGAGCUUCACGCUUAGAAUUUGAUUUUUUUCAAACAAUCUAAGUGGUGAAGAUUUCUUUGGGCUAGGAAGGAAGGAAAAAAAAAAUAUCAAGUAAUAAUAAUAAAAUUUUAUUGGUGAGUAACAUUUAGUGUCGUGUUUGUUACUUUGAGGGGGAGGUUUGAGAGCGAAUUUAUAAACCAAUUUGCAAUAUCCAAGCCUGUAGAAUGUAUGUUUUCAUUUGAUGUAUUUGUGAUUUAUAUUCCGUACUUAUCAAUGCUUCUAUAUUUGAUGUAUGAUGAUGUAUCACAAUUAUGAAUUAUCUACUUAUUUAAAAUCACUUUCUUCCUUCUAAUAUAAACACAGUUUGACAUUUCUCACAUAAUUUAAAACACAAUUUUUUUUCCACAACAUCUGUCUUUAUUCAUUUCGGUACGUAAAUGAAAUAUUUUUUGUCAGCAUUCACAUUAAUACUUUUAGACUAAAAUAAUACCUUUUCCAUUUUUGAAUAAAUGUCAAUUUGAUAUUUUUCAUACAGAUUAAUAAAAUGACUGAAAUAUAUGUAAGUUGUUAUUAACUCCAUUUAUCUGAUCCAUAGUAUUUGAGAUAAAUAAAAUUAUUUAAAAAAUCAAUGCAGUUUAUAAUUAAUUUUCAACUAAAAAGUAUAAUUUGCAUUGAAAAUAUAAAAUGAUAUUUUUUUUGUGAAACAAAAAAAAAUGUUAGAAUGACAUUUAUUAUGAAAGAGAGGGAGUACUACUUGCUCGGAAACAAAGUGAGGAUAGUAACUAAUUAACCAACACUUGAUUUUUCCUCAAAACAAUUAUAUUAAUUCAACUCAUUCAACCAUAUAUACUCUAAAAAAUCCAAAACAGCCCAAUAUAUUAAAACAAGGCCCAUUAAAGAUUCCUCAGCAAAAAAAAAAAUGAAAAAGUAGUAGUAAGUAGAAAGAUAGCUACCUCCUUCCCUCACUCUCUAGAACUCCCACCGUCUGUCUCUCUUUAUCACUCUCAUUCUCCCAAAAACCCUAAUCUCACAAAAAUGGCAGCCGCCGCCGCACCUCCACCACCUCCAACCGCAGCACCAGAGCCAAACAUGGUCCCACAAACCUCCCCCAUCGGCCACCCAAUCUUCUCCCGCAUCCGCCUCGCCACGCCUCUCGACGUCCCCUUCAUCCACAAACUCAUCCACCAGAUGGCCGUCUUCGAGCGCCUCACCCACCUCUUCUCCGCCACCGAGUCAAACCUCUCCUCCACUCUCUUCACCUCCCCUCCCUUCAAAUCCUUCACCGUCUUCCUCCUCGAAGUCUCCCGCUCCCCGUUCCCCACCUCACUCCCUUCCCCUCCAGACUUCGCUCCUCUCCUCAAAACUCACAACCUCGAUCUCCCUAUAGAAGACCCCGAGAGCUACAACUUCACGCCGGAUAUGUUAAACGACGUCGUGGUGGCUGGGUUUGUUUUGUUUUUUCCGAACUACUCGAGCUUUUUGGCGAAGCCUGGGUUUUACAUAGAGGAUAUCUUUGUGAGGGAGCCGUAUAGGAGGAAAGGGUUUGGGAGUAUGCUGCUGACGGCGGUGGCGAAGCAGGCGGUGAAGAUGGGGUACGGGAGGGUGGAGUGGGUUGUGCUUGAUUGGAAUGCGAAUGCGAUUAAGUUUUAUGAGCAGAUGGGUGCUCAGAUUCUUCAGGAGUGGAGGGUUUGUAGGCUUGCUGGUGAUGCUCUUCUGGCUUUCGAUAACGUUAGCAUCUGAUGAGACCACACUCUUCUUACUCGUUUCGCUUAAGUUUUAAAAGUUUCUUGCUUUGUUGUUGUCUUUUGUGUUUCUUGUCUUGUUUUUUUGUAAGUGUUGGCAUUGAUGAUAAUGGAUGAUGAUUCUCUCUGCCAUUUGACAUACAAUGAGAAAAAUAAAAAGCUUUUGUUGAAUGAAAACGUGUGAAGUUUUAAAAGUAGAUGUGUAAUAAUAGUGAAUCCUCAACGUUUAGACAGCUUGUGAUGUUUGCUUUGUCUCUUUUGUUCUUCUUGUCUUGUAAGUGUAGGCAUUGAUGAUUAGCUCUGCCACUCGCACAGAAUCAGAAAAACAAAACAUUUUGUUGAAUGAAAAAGCUUAAAGUAGGAUUGUAAUUGAAGUUUCUCAUCGUUUAGACAGCUUAUGAUGUUUUGCUACAAUGGUCGGACACAACGAGGCACAAGUCUUUUAAGAUGGUUGCAACUACGUAGUAAGCGUUAUUUGCUUCAAUUACUCUUAGUUGAGACAAUAGUCUGAGUGUCUUGGAUAGAUAGAGAAUUGAGAAACUGGGAGACUUGGACAUGCUGCCAAUAAUAAUACCAACAUAAUGUAGACCACAACAUUAUUCAUGUAUUAAGGUUACUUUUGGUUCGUUCCGAAGAGCUACAAACAUGAAACACCAUCCAUGUAAUAAGCGUUGACAUUGAUGAUAAUGAUGAUAAUUUUUUUUUGGACAAAAAAAGCCUUUUGUUGAAUGAUUCCUCUAUAGUUUAGACAGCUUGUGAUGUUUUGACAAUGGUCGCAGUGAAUCUCACAAGUUUAAAAGAUUGUUGCAACUAUAUGGGACAAGCCUUUUUUGCUUCAAUUAGUCUUAGUGGAAAGAAGAAACGAAGUUUUAGUAGUCACUGUUUCUUGGAUAAAUAGAGAACUAGUAAGAAACAUGAGACUUGAAGAAUACAUGAAGUUGAAACAUUAGAUCGUUAUAACCAACAUCAUUCAUGUAUUAUAAGACCACAACAAGAAGGUUACUUUUGGUAAUAAUAGUUAAAGAAAUAAGUAAAACAAAUCUCAGUAGAUGAUUACAUGGUGCAAUUAAAUCACGGUGACGGUUUGGGUACAAGGUGAUUUUUAUUAGUUGACGACGCGACAGUUUCUGCGAAUCUCACCACCUUCAUCUCCAAGUGUAAGGACCUUGAUGGAGCUCAUCUUGAUCAUAGACCGACCAAACUGAGCAAGAAAGCUUUCAGAGUUUUGGAAAACACUAGCAAUGUGAGCGGCUGAGGAAUCAGUCAACAAGGCAGCGUCAGAGGUGAAGAGUCCUUUGUGUUGUAGGAGAGAUACGAAGUAGCCACUGUCGAAGGAGAGUGCUCCUGUGGGGUCCAUUCCGACCACUGCGGAAGAGUUGAGUCUUUGAGAUUUGUCUGAGCAUUUGGACUUGAGGAAAGAGGCGUAGCUAGAGUUCAGGGAAGGAUCCGUGUCCCCUUUUCCGGUGAAGUUCAACAGUCUCCGACCAAACACACCGCAUCGUGCUGUUCCUAUUGUGUGUGCUCCUGUUUCAUAUCACAUUAUCUUAUUUUUAGUAGAAAAUCAUCUCAAACUUUUAUCGACUCUAUAUAUCAAGACGUAUAUCAUCGGAUGGUACGGAUUUAUAUAUCUUUGUCUUUAAAAUUUCUUUACAUUCAUAUGAGAAGUGCAAAAGUUCGUUUUAGAAGUUAAAUGAGAUUCAAAUGAGCUAAAAAUGAUUUUUUUACAGCUUUUUUUUUGACAGCAGCUAAAAAUGAUUUACAUGAGCUAAAAAUAUUUAUAAAAUAACUAUAUUGUAAUAGUUAGUUAAAUUUUAGGGCAAUACAAAAGGUAAACAAAAUUAUUUAAACAAUUUCUGUUAUUAUCUUAAUCAAAUGGAGUAUUAAUAAUUUAAAUUUAUUAAAAUAAUUAUGUAAUCAUUUUUAUAGUAUUAAUGUGAAUAUCAUAUAUAAAUAAUCUAUUUAUUAAAUACUGUUAUAAUUAUUUAUUAAAUAAUGUUAUAGAAAUGUGUAAAAUAUCUGCUUGUUUAUUAGUUAAAUAGUGAGUAAAUUUUUUUUUUUUUUUUUUUUUUUUUUUUUAAAGUGAGUAAAUUAUAUGCUAAAUAACAGAUGAUUUAUAAGAAAAAAAUUCACUUCUGAACAUUAUCACGUGAGACGUGUUUUCCAAGAUUAUCCCUCAAAUAUUUUAUGUUCAAAAUAUAUUCUCUACUUUUUAUAGUAUAAAUGAUAUUUAUACUAUUUCUUGAAGAUGGGAGAAUUAAAUUUGUAGCAUCUCGUCAUACACGUCCUAACAUGGACAUGCACGUGGUCUGAUAUUCCCGCGAUUUUCUUAUUUCAUUGUCCCCUAUUUCAUAGGCCUGUUCUUAUCAGUAACUUAAGAAUAUUGUGUACAAUACAUAUGAUUACAAAAAGAUAAUAAGUAGAAACGGUAACCUGAUAAAGCAACGAGGUCAACGACGUCCAAAUCGCUCUCGGAAAAGAGUUUCUGUAGAGAGGUGAAGUUUGCCCCAGCGGACGGCAAGUCUCUGGUGGCCUCUGUCGCCAAUGAAACUCUUCCAUCAACACGUCCGGUAAAGACAUUCCAUAGCGGCCGACCAUACUAGAACAUCAUUCCCCCCAAAAAUAAGAAAUCUCGAAUUUCUGAAGUUUUGUUAUAUAAAUCCAUCUAAAUCAUAAACCGUAAUCUAAACAAAGGUCUAAAAGUCAGAUCACGGCAAUUGUUUAGGCGGUAAAUCAGUUAUAAACGAAACAAUUUUAAUAAAAUCGGCAAGACGUCCCUUUAGACACUAGUCCCCUAUAAAAUGCUUAAUUACAACAUAGCGAUUUCUUGUACAUCAAUCUGAACUAUUCCAAUAAUCUUCUAAAACUGAAGAAUAUAUCGAUUCUUGAUUUUGAUCAGCAAGAUGUUUUCUCACACACUACAGUGCUAUUUAUUGUUUGGUUAGAAAGUUUCUCUAAUCAUGAAAAUAUAUUAGAGAUACGAGUUUGUUUAUAUUACUUGGUACGAGACGGCAUCGCGGGCGGCUAGCGUGAGAAUGUCAGCGCAGGAGACGGUUUUGGGACAUCGUUUUUCAAGAACUGACUUGAUCUCAUCGAUGAUUCCAAACCCUACAAGCGAGAGAUUAGGUCUCGCCUCCUUCUCUGACGCGGCUUUGCCAGCAACCGAAUCUAAAAGCAGUGAUGCGUCACACCCCUAAAUAAUAUCAAUGCAUCCCCAUUAUAGUUGAUAUUUACUAUAAAGAUGUUCAGGAAAUGAGAAAAAAAAACAACGUUUAGAAGCAAUACAUACCCUAACAAAGCAGUCAUGGUAAUGAACCCUCAGUAACUUGGCAGCUAAGCUAGGGUUUGCUUUGACUUUCUCGGACACGAUCUCGUUCACGAUAUCCUCGGCUUGAGGACAGGUCUUGUGAUAGAAUUUCAUCUUUAGCUUACCCUCCCAUCUUCCUCUCCUCGUCGCAUGGCCAUUGUUAUGACCAUUAUUAUGACCACUGCUGCGACUGUCUCCCUUACCAUCAACAUAAAGUAAGACAGCCAAAACCAAAACAAGAGAAAAUAGAAACCGAGCUAGAGUCUGCUGAUUCUUAGCCAUGACUCGACUCAAGACUUUUAUAUUUGCUUUGAAGUAUUUGUGCUAGUUGUGUUUGAGGAAAGCACUUGCCCGGGCUGCUUUAUAGUGAAGCUGAUGCUAACACUCUCCACUUUUUCUGUUCAAAGAAAUUGAAUAAUCAUUGAAAUUAUUAUCAAGUAAAGUUCCCUGCAUGUGUUGUGAGAAUGAAGGAUUAAUUAUUAACUUACAAGUCAACACCAUUAGAAAAUAUAUAAUUCCCAAAAUCAUUUAGCUUCAUUAGCUGAACCAUAACGUGAACAUCCAUAAUUUAGAUCUAUUUAUGGAUUUCAAUGCUGUCUCCAGGACCAAUUUACAUUAAUUCAGGCAAUGUUUUUUAUAUACUUUCACUGUCCUCUGAAACUUCAAUUAUCAAACGAAGGAUUCUACUUCAGUGGGCAUGACCUCGAUCCUUCUACUUUGAAAUAGCCUGGAUUGACCCCCAUUUAUAUAUCAACUCCAAAUACAAGUGUAUCAUCUCAAUAUUGACAUACAAGGUGAAUGGUGGAACUGAAGAAUGGAUAUGAAUAAAAAAAAAAAAGGAUAUGAAAAUAUCCCUAGUACAAACUAUUUACUAGGAAUAUGAUGUUUUUUUGUCAGCCAAUUUGUGAACAAUAUUAUUGAGGUCCACAGGUCUGCCCUAAUUCUAAGUUGAAGAAGUUAGAUUUGCAGACAAUAGAUUACAUUGGCAUAUCAACGGGUGGUUCUUAUUCUGUCUAAUCAACAUCCAUAAGAACAUUUCUUUUAGGUGAUGUUAUGGGAUACACCAAGGUAAGCUACAGUCACCAAAAAGUUUGGUUACUAGCUUUGCAGAUUCAUACUAAAUUUUAUCAACAUCAAGCUAGAAAUGCCUCCAAGACUGAAUUGGUAGAUUUAGAAGCUGUUAAUUUGCCGUUUUAAUAUGCACUGCAAGUUUAGAGUUGUGUUUCUUAGGUGAUAUAAGCACCUCGAUAAGCGGCUAACAUGCAGCUAACGCCACAUGACUACAAAUACUUGUUUUGAGUUGCUGAAUUCAGAUAUUAUACUACUAUAACAUAAUCCAGAUGGAGUAAACUAAACGUCUGCAACGUCUUUCAACUCCUCUGAUUUGCUCUCUUCGGGGACCAAGGAAUUUGAUGGUUCUGAACUUGGUUCAAUAGCAGCAGAGAUGGAGUUUACUGAUUCUGGCAGUGCCUCUGAAUCCAAGUCGGCUGAUUCGCUAGUUCCAACACAUUUCUUACCAUCUCCUUUAACGUCAGAUUCUGAGACAGAGCACUUAGCCUCUGGUUCGUCUAAACCACCAGCUGUUGGAUCCUCCACUGGCAAGCUUUCCUCGUUCUCUUUCUGGGAACUUAAUGCUGAAGACAAAUGCUCUUGUUGCCCCUCCGAUUCUUCUUUCUCCACCAAGCCACCAGUGGCCACAUUAUCUUCAGAUUGAACGCUUGCAUUACCAACUUCACCCCUCUGUGUGGGCUCCUCAGUUUCAUCUAGAUUUGUGGACACAUUCUCUGGCUGAACGCUGGCUUCAACAUCAAUCAUGUCUCUAUCUUCCGAUGGGUUCUCAGCCUUGUUCUCUUCCUCUGAACUUAAGGCUGAAGAUAAAUGCUCUUCUUGUUCCUUUGAUUCUUCAUUUUCCUCCAAGACACCAAUGGCCACAUUAUCUUCAGACUGGCCGCUUGCAUUACCAGCUUCCUCCGUCUGUGUAGGCUCUUCAGUUUCAACUAGAUUCAUGGACAAAUCCUCUGGCUGAACCGAAACAUUAAUACCGCUGGCUUCACCAUCGGUCAUGUUUAUUUCUUCUGGUGUGUUUUCGGCCUUGGUUUCUUUCUCGGAACUUGAUGCUGAAGACAUAUGCUCUUGUUGAUCCUUUGAUUCUUCUUUCUUUUCCAAGACACCAGCCACAUUAUCUUCAGACUGGUCGCCUGCUUUACCAACUUCCUCCAUCUGUGUGGACUCGUCAGUUUUAACUAGAUUCCUGGACAGAUCCUCAGGCUCAACAGAAACAUUUAUACCGCUGGCUUCACCAUCAAUCAUGUCUGUAUCAUCCGAUGGGUUCUCAGCCUUGUUCUCUUCCUCUGAACUUAAUGCUGAAGACAAAGGUUCCCGUUGAUCCUUUGAUUCUUCUUUUUCCUCCAAGACACCAAUGUUAUCUUCAAACAGGUCGCUUGCAUUACCAACUUCCUCCAUCUGUGUGGGCUCCUCAGUUUCAACUAGACUCCUGGACAAAUCCUCUGGCUGAACCGAAACAUUAAUACCGCUGGCUUCACCAUUGGUCAUGUUUAUCUCUUCUGGUGUGUUUUCGGCCUUAGUCUCUUCCUCUGAUCUUAAUGCUGAAGACAAAUGCUCUCCUUGAUCAUUUGAUUCUUCUUUUUCCUUAUCUUCAGGCUGGUCGCUUGCAUUACCAAUUUCCCCUACCUGUGUGGGCGCUUCAGUUUCAACUAGAUUCAUGGGUAAAUCCUCUGGCUGAACUGGAACAUUUAUACCGCUGGCUUCACCAUGAAUCAUGUCUCUAUCGUCCGAUGGAUUCUCAGCCUUGUUCUCUUCCUCUGAACUUAAUGCUAUAGACAAAUGCUCUUGCUGAUCCUGUGAUUCUUCUUUUUCUCCCAAGACACUAACGGCCACAUUCUCAGAAUGGUCACCUGCAUCGCCAACUUUUCCCAUCUGUGCAGGCUCCUCAGUUUCAAUUAGACUUCUGGACAUAUCCUCGGGCUGAACCGAAGCAUUCAUACCGCUAGCUUCACCAUCAAUCAUGUUUUUCUCGUCCGAUGGGUUCUCGGCCUUAGUCUCUUCCCCAGAACUUAAUUCUGAAGACAAAUGCUCUCGUUGAUCUGAUUCUUCUUUUUUCCCCAAGACACUAACGGCCACAUUAUCUUCAGAAUGGUCACUUGCAUCACCAACUUCUCCCAUCUGUGCAGGCCCCUCAGUUUCACCUAGGCUCCUGGACAAAUCCUCUGGCUGAACCGAUGGAUUUAUAUCAAUCAUGUUUCUCUCGUCCGAUGGGUUCUCAACCUUGUUAUCUUCCUCUGAACUUAAGGCUGAAGACAAAUGCUCUCGUUGGUCCUUUGAUUCUUCUUUUUCCCCCAAGACAUCAAUGGCCAUAUCAUCUUCAGCUCGGUCACUUGCAUCACUAACUGUUCCCAUCUGCGCAGGCUCCUCAGUUUCAACUAGAUUCAUGCACAAAUCCUCUGGCUGAACCGAAACAUUUAUGCCGCUGGCUUCACCAUCAACAAUGUUUCUCUCGUCCGAUGGGUUCUCGGCCUUUUCUCCCUCUAUCACUGGUAGAGACGAAGGGGAGUCUGUACCUACUAAAAAAUAUAUUGAAAGAUAAAUUUACGGUUCUUUUUUGCCCCUAAAGUAAUCAUGCUACAAGGUGUCAUUGAUUUAAUGAACGUGCAUACCUCCCACUUGCUCUGCAGAGUAAGGCAAUUGAACUGAUGCAUCCACCAUCUCUGUGUCAGCGGUACUAGCUUCUCCACCAAGUUUACAACUGUCACCUCCUAGAAUCGAAGCAGAUUCUUCAGAAUCUUGUUCUGCAUUGGCAGAAUCAGAUAGAGGACUACCAUAAUCUUCAUGAACAAGUGAUAUAGAGUUCUUAUUGCUGGUCUGGGUCUUUAGUCCAUCAGUGUGCGGAAUCGACAAUUGGAUUGCAGCAGAACUUGGUCCAACAUCGCACAUCUGAUCAUCCGGACUCUCACCUUCUUUACAUUUUGCCUCGACCUCUUCACUCGUCUGAUUUGUAGUAUCGAGAGAUUUGCUAUCCACACGUGAACUUUCAUCAAAUCUCAUUGGAGAUCGUUGAGAUUCCUCAUAACUUCUCUCAAGCUCAUGAGACCCAACUGUGGGCUGCACAUUCAUCUGUUCUACUGGAAUCAAGGGGCUAGUUCCUUUUUUAUCACCAUCGAUUUCUUCACCCUUAACUUCAGUAGAUAGAUUUGCUACUUGCUGUUCUGUUGGCAAAGGUUCUGUAGUUGUCAACGAUGCAACAGAAUCGGGUAAAAUAUCUCCUGAAGACAGUUGCACCACAGAAGAAUCCGCUUCAACACCAGAUAUCUUGACAAGGUAAUUUCCGGCAUCUGCAACAACCACAGACAACUCGGUGCCACUAUCCCUGUUUGUAACCAAUUCAAUCGGACCACCAGACCCAGGGUGAGCAACAUCUGAGAUCAGAUUUUCCUCAUUCAUCGGAAAUUGUGAAGAUCCGGGAUUGUUAACACCACAAGACGUCUCUUCAGUCACAAUCUGGUCUGCAAGAGCUUCCUCAGUCGAAGUAUUAGGUGGACAAUUCGAAGUAUGGCCUACAGAAAUCAUUUCAGCCUUUUCGGAAGAAACAACAUCAUCGGAAUUAGUAGGAUUUAACUGCAGAUUUGUUUUUGCGGCCGUAUCACCCAAUUGAGACCUCACACCUACGACAUCCUUUGCCUCCUCAGGAUCAAGGACACACUUCAGAUCAUCGGAGUUAGGUGUCAGAAGCUCGCUCUCUAGAACUUUUUCAGAUAUGGAAACACUCAUCUCCAAAGAGCUUUUAGUCACAGAAUCAUUCAAGUCUUCAGGUACCUCCGCACUAGUUCCAGAAAAAUUGCUGCCACCACCAAUUUCAGAAGAAUUUGUAGGAGUAAUGCGACAAUCCAAAUCAGCACCGCUAGGUUUAUGGAUUUCAGGUGACUCAGGUUUCUUUGGAGAACCAUGUUCAUUGGAUGCUGAAGGCAUUUUCGAAUCUUCAACAACACAAGCAGAAGAAGCUGGAACAGUUUCCGAGGAAUCCUUCGAUAUCAGUCCAAAAAUUUCAGUCAUCUUCAUUGCUUGAGGAGAAACUGAAGGUGAUAUAGAUGGUCCUGCCUGUUUAUUAGGAGCCUCAGCGGAAUCAGCAUUAGGAGUUGGUAAGCUUUGCACAUUACCAUCAUUCUGAGGCUCCGGUGAUUGACUUUCUUUGUUUAUCUCAGGCAAAACCUCGUCUACAGGGCUUUUGGAAUCAACCGGGACAGUACCUUGAGCUGGAGUAUCAUCAGAUUGAUCAACAGGAGACUUAGAUCCAGGUGAAGGUUUUACAGUUUCAUGGACCAGCAUAGAAGAAUCAGAAAUUUUAUUUUCUUCUGAAACAUUGGGAACAGGCGCUGCUAUUUGUACCUUUGGAUCAGUUGAUGUUGCUACUUUCUGUUCCGUGUUAACUAACUCGCUACCCACAGGACGUUUCGAGUCAGCGAGCAUAGUAUCUUGUGGUGUUAUAUCAUCAGAGUGAGUAACAGAAGCCUUAACAUCAGAUGAAGUCUUAAUGAUUUUAUCAACCAUGACUGAAGACUCAGACUUUUGCUUUUCGGCUGUAACACUGGAACUGGUUGCUUCUACUCCCAAGUUAUGAUCGGCAGGUUGGAUUAUAUUCUCUGCCUUGCUGGUCUUAGCUAUGUGCAUAUUCAUCGUUUCCGAGGAUUUUCCAUCUGGCUCAUUUGUUACCGUUGUUUCAGGAGGCUCCCCAACUUUAUGCUUUAUCAGGGAAGUCUCUGAAAAUAUCUCUUUCAUGACACGAGCAACAUCAGUCACAUCAGUAGUUUGUUUCCUACCAGUACCACCAACACCUGAUAUUUCUUUUCUUUUUUCCUGACUUGUACCGGCAGACGAGUGUGCAAGUGACGGGUUGAAAUGGGGUUGUUCUUGGACAACAACAUCAGACUUGUUUCCAACUGAUGUAAUUUUGGAUCCUGAUGAAUCACCAACCUUGACCUCAGUUUGUGGUGUUGAUAUUGUACUCCGUGCAGAAGAGCCAUCAGCAGUAGGUGAAGCUUGAACAUGUCUCCUUCCUCGCCGUCUAGGAGUUUCUCCUCUGUUUGGCGUCUUCCGACCUUGCCUCUUCACAGGCAUGGGUGCAGGAGGAGAAAGAACACUGGCGCCUUGAGCUGCAAAGACGACAGUGCAUAACCAAUAUGUAACGGUUAAAUUGAAAAACGAAAACAGUUUAAUUGAGUUUCGAUGCUUCAAAUAUUUGUACCUUCAACUGUAGAACCAACAACGUGGGGACUCAAUGGCUGAUUAGCAUUUAAAGGUGCAGUUGUCUGGCUUUGACCUGGGGCUGCCAAAAAAAAAAUUGAUGCUGUUAAGAUUCUUGUGAACAAUAUCUUCUGAUGCAUGUAUGUGAAAACAAUUAAGCGAUGUGCUAGUUAUAUACCGAUGUGCUAGUUAUAUACCUAAAGCAGUAGAGCUUGGCAUGUUAACUGGCUGUUUUAGAACUCCUGAACCCUGGUUAUUUCUUACAUCUGGAACAGCAGGCUUGUUCUUUAAAGAAGCUGCUUUUUUUACCAAGGAAUCAUCCGAUACAUUUAGCGGCUGAACAUGUGAUCCAGAACCAAAACCAGGCGGUGCAUCUAGCAGGCUACUUUCUUGUAGGGAGACAGCAGGAGAGGGCUGCACAGCAGUAGUAUCAGAAUGCAUGGAAGGCCCCGACUCAAGAUUAGAACUACUUCCUUUAAUAGGCUUAGGGACUUUUGCAUCAAUAGCAACCGAAGCGACGGGAAGAGUUACUAAAUUGGACGCUACAGGAUCACCAGAAAGAGAUGCUCGGGCAUUAGUUCUCUGAGUACCUAUGGAACUAUCAGCACCAUGCAACAUAUUUUCCACUCUCCUUCCUCUACCUGCACCACGUCCCCUGCCUCUUCCCCUGCCCCGACCUCUCGUUGGCAUUGGGGAAGAUGGAAGUGGUUGAAAACCAGGCGGAACAGAUAAAUCAGGGGAAGUAAGACUUCCAGAGGCAACAUCGGAACCAAUAACUGGUGAUGAUCUGGCAUCCCCUGUUGCAUGUGUCCUGCCAGGAACUGAUGCAGAUAAUUGAUUCGGCGUUUUAUCAGCUCUUUUUGGCCUGCCGCGGCCCCGUUUUACAGGUUCUGUUACUUCUUUCAGUGGCUGCUGUGAUUUCUGUAGAGGUUCCACGGGUUGUGGAGUCAGUGCCAAUGCUGUAGAUGUAGGGAGCACUGUGUCACCAGUGCUUCCAGCCAGAUUAUCUACUUUAUCAGUUGCCAAACUCUUUUCACCAGUGUUUCCAGUCAGAAUAUCUACUUUAUCAUUUGCCAGACUCGUUUCACCAAUGUUUCCACCCAGAAUAUUUGAUGAAGAAUUUGCCAAGUUCUUCUCACUUUCUUCUUCCUUGCCUCUGGGAGAAUCGGUUGACUCAGUCUGGCACAUCUUUUCAAAUUCCUCCUCUGUCAAUUGCUCUUCAUAAGAUCGAACCUGAGAAGUUGCAAUUUUGCCAAUUUUAAGUAAUAAGGAAAGGUGAUACCAGCAGCAUCAUAGUAAGGUACAAAAUUGAAUGUUAAAAUAAAAAAGACUGAACAAACCUCUCUGGCACGUUUGCCUCUUCCAUAUUGCUGAGUAUCCAAGCCUCCUACGGAACCACCCUUCCGCUUCAUGCCAACAUUUGAUUCUACUGCAACCAUCGGGACAUUAUUCAUUUUCAUUGCUUCAUAGAGCAGUUUUAAGUCAUCCUCAGUAACAAGACGAGAGGGGAUAGGUGGUAUGGGUGCAGAACUUUUUGACCCUGACCCCUGUACCAGGCUCUUCCAGGUUUCCUACAGAGCCAUGGCAGAUUAAAAUAGUAUCAUAAAAUGGAAACAAAAUUAAAGUUCUUAAGGAAAACAUACCAUCUCAUCUUCUUUUCUUUGAUUGUCGAUGGAUUCAAAAAUAUCAAUCUCCGACUCCCUAGAAAGACAACAGAAAUGUCAGAUCUACAAGAACUGCAUGGAAAUGUAAAGAGAGUUCCAUCUAAAGAGUAAAAUAGAAGAAACUCAAGCCAUUUAACCGAGAACACAUGAAAAUACCUAGUAUGGAAAACGACAGCAGAAACUACUUUACAUUAAGAAAGUAAAAACAUUCCAUAAACCCGUUUGAAGUAAUCAUAGUGCAAAUUUAAGAAACCAAAUUAAACCAAUAUAUAUGCACAGGUAAUAUUCUACAAGAAAUGAUAAACCAGCAGUCACCUUCGGGCUAUAAUAUCAUUUAAGGCAUCAUCGUCCAACACUGGAGCAGCCUCCUCUUUCUUUGACUCACGUAACAGGGAUUCCAAAUAUUCCUUACGAUCUUCGGCGCUGUUACAAAACAACAACGUGAUUACAUUAGAAAGUUGGUAGCUAGAACUCUUGAAGCAAAAAUGGAUGUCUCUGGGUUUACCUUGUGUUAUUGUCGAAGAAGCCAGCCGUUAUACUCUGGUUAGCAACUCCAAGCUUAUGUUCGGCUGAAGCUCUAACUUGCUCCUCAACAGUAUUGACCUUAACAUACAAGAAAGAAACUAAGUCAGACGAUUUUAAUAAACUAAAUAUGUAUCCGUCGAAAGGGUACACGCAGGGAACAAAUUAAAAUGUCCCAAGACUACAUAUUUAGUCAUGAAAAACAACAAUAGAUUUAUGAGAAGUGCACUAAAUUAAGAAGCCACGUAUCUUUACAGGAAUUUAAAUUCCUUGCAAACAACAGCAAACUAACCGUUUCAAAACGAAGAACUAGAACAUCUCUUUUCUGCCCAAUCCUGUGAGCCCUUGCUUGAGCUUGUAGAUCAACCUGAAAUAUAAAAUAUAUGCUCUUCAAUAUCCGAACUGAUGUCCACAGUAAACUAUAUAACUUGACAUGCAGGACUGCUAUGUCUAACCUGAGGAUUCCAGUCGGUGUCAAAUAUUAUAACGGUAUCAGCAGCUUGAAGAUUAACUCCUACUCCACCAGCCCGUAUGCUGAAUUCCCAUGAAAGAUUCAGUUAUCACAUCCAGAUACUUAUGAGUAUUAAAGCUACUUUACUAUGACCGGCAGAGAAUUUAAUGACAGCGCUUACAACUUGUAAUUCUGAAUGUAACAUGAAUUAUUCUGAUAAGAGCAUAAAUAUUAAAAAAAAAAGCGAGCCAUGAUAUCAUGUGUUACCUCAACAAGAAAAUGAAAUAUGGGGAAUCAGACUUGUUAAAUCCGUCAAUAAGAGCACCCCGAUCACCCCCAGAUGUGUGCCCAUCCAACCUAAGGUAUUUGUAUCCCUUGAAGGUGAGGUAAUCCUCCAUAACAUCAAGAAGCCUCGUCAUCGUUGAAAAGAAGAGAACCUGCGGAAAUUCAUACCAAAAAGUAACAAACACUUAAUGCAUCUGCAGUCAAAUUUGGGUUGACAUGCAGCAGAGUAACAAAUAAUGGCAUCAUUGUGCAUUUCACAAAAAAAUAGAAUUCUGCAUAGUUAAAACAAUAAAGUAAAGGAGAAAUCUAGUUGAAAUAUACCAAGCUUACUCCCAAAAUUAUAAAUGCUUCAUGCAAACAAAGCAACUAUAAAUAAAAUUCAUGUGAUCAAUCUCUCAGAGGCCAGGGCACUGGAAGGUAUAUUAGCAAAUUACAUGAAAUCUCGUAAUACAACUUGAAUUAGAAAAACCCGUUCCAUUAAUAUGAUAGUGAAGAAAAAUCAUUACCCGAUGGUCUGUUGCUUUGAGUUUGGGCAAGAGCCGGUCCAACAUCUCAAGCUUCCCACACAGUCUUAUUACCGGAGGCAGAUAAUGCUCAGGAAUUAAGCUAUUGACCUAGAGAAAGUGAAUUACGCAGACCCUUCAUCAGAACUUUCUUAAUUCCCUAACCAGAAGUUCUUUGCAUUUACGUAGAUUUUUCCGGGAAAUAUUACCUCCUCUGUAUGAAGUUGGCUGAGAUAUGGAUGAUUGCAAAUAUUUCGAAGCUCCAUCACUGAGUUGUGCACUGCACGCGACUGUAAAAAGAAAACUAACUAAGAAAUAACUAAACAGUAUAAAAAAGAUGACAAUACGCAGAGCACAAAACAGCACCUUCAUGUUUCCAAGCGAGCCCAGAUUAUCCUCAACUCUCUUCAUCAACAGCUUCUGAUAUGCAGAAGCCUCGCACCGUAUGAGUCUCUCUAUCUUUUCAGGAAGUUCAUUUUCAACCUACCAAAAUAAAUUAGAUGAUGCAGUUAAAUUAAAGUUAACACAAAAAUACUCAGAUGCAUGCAUUUUAUGGCAAUAUCCUACCAGAUCACUAAAAUACGGAAAGCGAUACUAGAACGACAUGGUUGGAGACUACAAAAAGGAACAAUGUUGAAUGGCAAAUAUCAUGUUAUGAACCUUAUGUUUCAGCCGCCGCAACACGAAUGGUCGAAGAACUUGGUGAAGACGAUUGAUGAUCAGCAGAUUCUCCUCUUCUGAUAGCAACGCCUAGUCAAAUGGCAAUCAUAAGGUUGUCGUUAACCACGAUGUCUUAAGUUUAGUAUACCCGUAAUUAUCUGAAUAAGAAGACAGUCAAUGCUACCUCUUCAGCAGAAUUAUCUCCAUUACUUUGAAAUGGUUUGUUGAACCACUGUGAGAAGUCUUCUGACGAGUUGAAUAUAUUAGGUAACAGGAAAUUAAGCAGCGCCCACAAUUCUUCCAGGUUGUUCUACAAGAUAUAUAAAUACUUAGAUGAUGAGCAAUAAUAGCAACAAAAAGAUGUAAAACAAGAACAUGGGGUAAAAUAAAGGUUAGCAGGAGAAGAGUGAAAAAGUACCUGCAAUGGCGUUCCAGUUAACAGGAGUCGGUGGGAGCUAUUGUAGUGUUUUAGGUCUGCAUUCAACUUGCAAGAUGCAUUCUUUAUACGAUGUCCUUCGUCAAUAAUAAUGUAAUGCCAAAGGAUCUUGCUUAAUUUAGGCCUAUCGUGCUUGUUCAUUAGAUAUUCAUAUGUUGUCAGAAGCACAUUGAACUUCUGAUGAACAAUUUGCUCCCUGCAAUUAAAAAGUAAUAAUAAUGAACCUUAAAAUCUUAGACAUAAAGAAAAACAGUAAUUAAACUUUUCUCUUUAGUACUUGAAGAGCUUGCGCCUCUCCUCCGGAGGGCCACAAUAGACAAUUUUCUGAAUUGUAGGGGCCCAGAAGUUAAUUUCUGACACCCAGCCAGGCAGCACAGAGGAUGGUACAACAACCAAGAAGGGACCUCUAUCAUUCUUUGUGUCCAUCAGAUAGCAAAUCAACGAAAUCACCUGUAAAAAGAAGAAACGAAUUAUAACUUAAGCAACAAAUGCAUCUAAUAACCAAUUUAAAACAAAUAAAUCAUGUGCACAUAUGUACCAAAUGCGAAUGGGUGCGCCAUUAAAUACCUGAACAGUUUUUCCGAGACCCAUCUCAUCAGCUAGAAUGCCAUUUAAAUGAUUGUUGUACAGGGAAAGAAGCCACCUUAGGCCAUUCAUUUGGUACCUAAGAAAGAAGAUUUUGUUGUUUUAAGUAACCCACGACAUACUUGUAAAAAAAACUAGAAGGUGCUCAAAUGUACAGGAGUAAAAGAAGCGGGUAUGGUCCACUUACUCCCUUAAUUUUCCACCCUUUAGGGAAGCUGGCUGCUCGUUAAUACUUUCUUUUAUGCUGUAAAAACAAGUUUUCUUGUAAGUAGAAGAGAGAUGAUCCAGCAAAACUCUAUUUUACAACCAACAAAACCACCAUAUUGGAUAAAAAGCAAAGGGAAAAAUGACAAUCCUGGUAUGAUUGAAUCAGAAAACUAGUAGUUUUGUUCAUUUUGGAUGAUUUGUGGAGUAAUUAUACGAAGAAGCAAGAUUACCUGUGAGCCAUCAAGUAGUAUUUUUCAUUGCUUUCCAGGUAGUGCUGUUUAGAAUACAGAUGGCAACAACAUCAGAAAAGAUGGAGGAAGGCUCAAAGAAAAUGUAAUCUUAGGAACGAUGACUUGCCUUUGCCUGGUCACUCUCAUCGUCAUUAUCAACAGUUUUAUCCUCAACAGGUGCCUCAUCUGCCUCAUUCUCAAAUCGACUGGCUAACGAUUUUGCCUCCUUUAACUUGGAUCCAAGCUUUUGAAGGUACUUCUCUGUCUCUUUGAGUAGUUGCAUUACUCGAUCUGACUUGGCAUCCUAUAUAUUCACCCAUCGACCUUAUUUCACAGCCAAGAAGAAGUAACGUAACCCUAAAACUUCCAAAGUUAGUUCAGUGAAUCAAACCUGCACCAUACGAAGAUAACCCUCCACAUCAUUAAUCUUUAGCAAAUUAAUCUUCUCCCGCUGAAUUUUGUCGAUCUUUUCACGAUGAAAACGUUCCUUUCUUUUGUGGAACUCCUUUACAUAUCUGUUGAAGCCCUUCCACCUUUCUCUCCUAGCUUUGGAUAAAUCAUCUAGCCUUUCCCUAAAACAAGGUUCAAUCAAAAUUUGAUAUUUAAGAAACAGUUAACUCAAUACACUUAUGUUCUACUAGGCUCACAAAACAGGUCAAGAGAAAAAUAUGGCUUAAGAUGGAAAACUAAUUGCACGUACUUGUGAACUUCUAUCUCCCCAAAGAACUCCUUCUGCCUCUCACGAAUUCUCCUCUGUCGCUCUUCCUUCAUCUUCUGCUCAUAUUUCUCAAGCUGUCUAAUCCGCCGGCCAUGCUUAUGUUUUUUAUAUGACUUUAGGUUCUCAACAUCAUUUGCAAUAGGUUUGAAGAAGUUGUGAAGAAACUCACUGCAACGAAUUAACAAAGAAUUAGUAACUGAGAGAUGAUAUGACAAGUUGAACACAUACAAAUAAAAAUUUGCAUUUCGUCUAGCAAUUACAGAAUAGCUAGUUGAAUGUCUUGUAAGCUCGACAUAUUGGGAUAUUAGGCAUUAAAAGAAGGUGAAACAUCCAACGAAUGAGAAAACAAUCUUAACAUUUUUUUAAACCAAUUACCUUCUCAAACGACGUUGCAGACUCAACAACUGAAGCUUUUUCAGUUCUAUUACACUCUUAGUCUUUGUAGAUAUAUCCUCCGAGGAAGUAACAGAUUCCUGUAUAUUAAGAGAUGUACAUCAGUCGCGAGAACCAAAUAAAGUAAUGACACAAGUAAAACUAGUUUACUCCAAAUGUUAAGGCAGUUUCGGAAAAAAUGGCACAAGUCCAAAACAAAUAAUCCUAGCAGUUACUUCAAAUAUAAAACCGAGAAGCAAAUGCACAACAAGCAAAUACAUGGUCAAUCAUUUACCGGAUAACAAUACCAUGCCUAUAUAUAUACAGAAAUAGAUAUUUAAAAAUGACUAUUAAUCUCCAAUCAUAAGAGAAAAGGAUAUAGAAAUCACCAGAAACAACAUGAACAAUGCAUAAAGUUGAACACGGAAAAAAAUAAGCACUAGUAAGAAGUAAGAACUAAGAGUCGAAAUUAUUACAAAAAAAAAACGUACGACAAAAGAGAGGGCAAGAGAGAGAGACCUUCAACUCAUUGAACCGUGCACCAAUUGCCUGGUCUGCUUUCUGCUGUUUAAGACCCCAGCUCCGAUCAACCAAAUGUCUCUUAUUCUGUCGAUCCAUAAUCCACUUCUGUGACAUGGUGUACUUAGGCGGCGGUUGCACGUUACCCUCCUCUUGAUCUGCAAAGUACCAUACAUCCAUGUUAGAAUUGUAUCAACCACAUUAAUCCAAACUUUUCUACUCAAAAGAGUCAGUCUUAUUAUCAACAAUUCGCUCAUCAAAGGUAGUCCACUGACCUGGAGCACAUAAUUCUUCUGAUUCAAAAGUAAAAGUUGAGGCCUCAUUACGGUUAAUAGUUCCGGUCCACCCCACCAUCUCUACUGGUGCGUGUUUGGUUACACCGCCUGAAGAAGAAGCCAGCUCAGAAUGACUACCAGAAACCUGAUUUUGCGCUGGAGCUUCUGGGGUGUUAGAUUGCAGAAGAAGCUUUUGCCCAUCAGGAAAUAUAGCAUUUGAUAUUUUGUCCUCCAAUCGUGGCAUCACUGUUUCUUUUGAUGAGAAGUCCAUCUCAGCCAAUUUUCCGGUAGGAUUAUCCAUUCUUGCUGAUGGAGCUGAGACUUCGACAAUGCUACCCGAUUCACUAAGAGAAUGUGGUCUUCCUUUCUGAUCCACGAGUUCCCUGCGGAAACCAUCUGUAUUGCAGGACAAUUUCAAUCCAAGAGAAUGCAUGUCAAAAAUGAUUAAGCAAAUAACCUAAGGGAAAGCAAAUAAUUACCAUCUUUGGGGAAGACAUUUCCAAGGGCGAUAUCAAUGUGCAGCUUCUUUGGCAUCAAUCCAUUUCUAGGAGAAGGAAAUCAGUCAGACCUUUUCAGAGUACCAAUUGAACGAAACCGAGGAAACAAGAGGUUAGGAGACUGAAAUUACCUGAGAGCUAAGAACACAAGGCACUGGGCUCUGAGCUGCUUCAAUUGCUGCUCUUUAAAAAGUUGACCUGAAGGCGGAGCAUCCUCUGCUGCGACAGAUUUUCCAGUAUCUCUAUGAGCUGGAGGCCUGAUUGCUGUGAUUUCACUGUUUUGCCAUCCACCCUGCCAUUGAAACGAACAUUCCGCGUCAAGAGGGCAUUGUUAUUGACUAGGCUUCGGCAGAAGUAAAAGAGAAGAAACUUUUGUAGAACUAUAUGCAUGUAAGAUCCAAAACCUCACCGAAUGGGAGGUUUUGACAGAGAUUGCGCUUUUUGGAAAAUAAUUGACCAAUAGAAAUUCAAUUAAAUACUUCAUAUUUAAAUCAAUGAAAAUAAGGGAAAGGAAAAAAAAACAGAUAGGAUUCUUAUAAGAAGGACAAAUGCUUCCGCAUCUCCUAAUUCAAAUUUCAAAAAUGUAUCGAAUAAGAUUAGUGAAAAGUCGUAGCAUAUGAUUUCAACAAGUAAAAAUGCUAUGAAUAUAGCAUGUUAUGGAAACCCAAGCAUGCCAACAAACUUAUAAUGUAAAUGUAUGUACCUGAGGAGUGGUGUAUGCAUCUGAUGACAACCCGACAUGCAAAUUCUCACCGUCACCUGGGUUUUAGUAAGAAAAAAAAAGUACAAUUAAACUAACGAGUUAGCAAUUAACGGCAUGCACAAAUAACAGCAUAGUAGGAUACAAUGCUGUUAUUCUUAACUUAGAAAUUAUAAACAAAAAGGUUGUGUUAAAAUUUCUUGAUUUAAAAAAAAAAAUUCCUACCUGUAGCAGGCAUUUCCACUUUGCUCAUUUUUCUAGUCUGGUCAUCAACGGUCCCAUGAGUAUCAAAUUGCUGAGAAUUAUCCAUGUUCUGAUCCCACGAAAACGAUGAUUCACCCCUUUUUCUCUUUGCACUUGACUUUGCAUCUCUUUGAUUCAUUGUCUCAUUCCUAUCGUGAGACUGAGCAUUUCCCGGCUUAGAAUCCAAGCUGGAUGGACUGUCAUGAUCGACGGAUCUGUUACUUCGACUUCCAGGCCCUUGGUAAACGGCUUGUGAUGCACUGGUUGAUCCACCAAGCUGCCUAGCAGAAGUGAAUGCAUCAUAUUUUGACAUCUCAUUUUCAACUAGACUUGCUUUGGACUCAUUGUUAACUCCAACGACUUGAGAAGACCCUGUAUGAAAAUUUAACACAACAAUAAGACACAAGUACGCGAAUUUUCACAUUAAAAAAACAAAACUUUAAAAGAGAAAAUAAAUAAAUAUACCAGCAAUAUGUGCAGAUCCAGAAUCUUCCAUUUGGGUACUACUACCACCAGCAUGAGGAAGACGAGGGGACGUCAAAGCUUCAAUGUCAAGACCAUGUUGAUUGACGACAGUCUCCAUGGCCCUAUAAGUUUUGGAAAGAAAACAUCAGAAGAACUAAAGUGAAAACAUGAACAAAAGUUUAUAAUUCUCCAAAGCACGAAAUUAAUAACUAUUUCGCCACAUUGCAAGUGAAUUAAAUCGAGGCAAAACCAGCAAAAGUUUCAAGUCUCAGCUAGUAAUAUAGACACCGUAUGUAACCACCUCUCCAUCACCACAAGCAGUGUCUUAGUGCAAAACAAUACCUUGAUAUGACCUGAUACGGCAUUGAGUGUUCCUUCCCACUGGUUUUCAUGUGCUGCAAUAUCUGAAGCAAUCAAAAAGAAAUACAUAAAGUUAAAGCAAAUGAUUAAAACCUCAAAUCAAAAAAAAAUAAGCCACACAGACACACACACACCACAUAGAGCUUUGUGGCUAGCUUCGAAGGUUCAUCUUUGGAAUCUUGAAUGAGCUUGUGCAGAAACUUAGCUGCCUCCAGCUCAAUAUUAUGUGAAGAAGACGACAUCUUUAAUUCUUAUUACACCAGCAACAACCACAUCAUGUAAGAAAACCCUGCAUCACUGAAACAUCCAAAGUGAUAACUAUCAUCUCCGUCAAAAAGCUAACAUCUUUGGUUCGUAAUUAAGUUAAUAGAGCGAGAGAAACGAGGAAAGUCGACGACUUUCCCCCAGGAAAAUGCAACCCUAAUCAAACGAGAGUUGAUGAAACCCAAAUCGAAACCCUAGAAAGCGAUCUAGCGGCAAAAUAGGAAGAAGGAAGAGCUUUAGAGCUUUACCCAGUCGGAGAUCUGAUGGUAGGAGCGACGAAGGAGAAGGGAAAUUGAGGCGAGAGCGUUGUGGUGAGGUGAGGUGAGAUUGGAGUGAAAGGCGUGUGAGAAAUGGCGUCGUCGCUUUGAGGAACCAAUAAAAGAAAGCGAAUUAGAGUUCCUGCUUGUAUAAUGAAGGGUCUAAAUAUAAACCACUGUAUAUUAGCUUCUACUUAUUAAAAAACGAAAAAAUCUUCCUCGAUUUUAAAAUAUAGAUGUUUCAAAAAGGUUGUGUUCAAGUAAAAUCUAAAUUAUGUAACUGAUUAUAUUUUGUAAUUUGUUUUAUAAUUAUAUAAAAUGUUUAAUAAUAUUUGAAAAUAAAUUUAUCUUUUUAAUAUUUGUGUUAUCAUCUACAACAUCAUAUGUUUUGAAACUUAAAAUAACAAAUAUAAAUAUUCCAAAAUUGAAAACUAUCUAUCUAGUAUUUUUUUUUAUUUACUUACUAGGGUCGGUCCGUCCUGGGCGGGAAUAUGAUUCGAAAAUAAUUUAAAUAGUUAAAGUAAAUAUUUUUUUGAUUUUUGUUUAAUAUUUGUUUUUGUUUUAAAAUGUUUUGUUCUAUAUUACUAUGAAUCAUUAUUUAUUGAUUGUUAUUCUUUAUUCAAUUCCAUUCUUAUUACAAUUAACUAAAAUUUUUCUUUACGGUAAAUAAGAUUGUUUAUCAGAAAUUUUAUUCUGUUUUUAUUUUCAUGGUGUUGAAUUGUUGAUUUAUUUGUUUAAUUUGAAGUUAUCUAAUUUUAUUCAUUUUCUUACAUUAAUUUAUAUCGUGUGUCUCUUAUUCGACUAUAUAACUAUGUUUUUUACACAGUUGUGGAUCUAUGUUUAUAGUAUUUUUUAAAACAUUCUUGACAUAAAUAUGCAAAAUACAUUCUACAUUUAUUUAGUUACAAUAAGUUCAAAUCUCUUUUGUACAAAAAACAAUUUUCUUUUUUCUUUUUAUAUUUAUUUUUUUGUUUCUGUAUUUUAUUCUAUUUUUCCUAACAAAUUUAUUUGAUUUUUGAUUAUCUAUAAUUUUUGUGCUGUGGUAAAUCUUUUUAAUCUAUUAUGUAAUACUAUCUUUUAAAAUAGUAUAACUCCAAAUCUGAAACCAAUGUCUUAGUUCUUUACAUAUAAUAAGUCAAAUCGAUAGUUGUUUCCUCAAAAUGAUGGAGGAAUUAAUUGUAUUAUAAUAUACCAAAAUUCAAAAUAAAAUAAUUGCUGUCUACAUAAAGUUUGAGUAUCUCAUAUUGAUUAUGGCUCUACCUAGUGAAACAACCGUAUUGCAAAUAAGAUAAUACGUUAAAAGAAAAUGAUGAGCAUCUACAUUUGUAUUCAAAGGAUCAGACUUUAGACGGAGACCAAACUCACAUGAUCAAUCUGCCGCGUAGCAGGCGUGACCAUCCCAUCAACAGCCUUAGUCAAAUCACUGUAAUAACCUGUGUUUUAAAUGGCGCAUGGCGAUCCAAGGCGAUAAGGUGUGUGCCUUGCGCCUUGCGCCAUGGCGCAAGAAAGCGCUCGCCUUGAAGACCCACUUGAAGACUACGUUAGUUAUGUAUCCGUGCGUAAUAUACAAAUUUCAUUCACGUGAUUUUGCCUUUAUUAAAUAGUUUUUAUCAGAAGAAAGCCCCAUGAGAUUAGAGAAGAGAGUACGUACUAACCUUAUGCAAAACACAGUCCGUGAGAUCCAUGUUUUGUUAAGUUUUUAACUUUGCUUUUCUACAAGAGCAAGCUAGGGUUUUGAUAAGUUUUUAGACGUUUGGUUUUAAGUUUGGUUUAAGGUUGGUCCAUUUAUUAAGUUAGGGUUUCUACGUGGUUUAGUAUCGGUUAACGUCAUCGUCUCCAUAGCUCGCCUUUGCGUUGCCUUUUAAGGCACCGCCUUAUGACCAAUGCGCACUUGGCGAGCGCCUUACGGAACCCACCCUCGCCUAGGAGGUACAUGGCGAUGGAGCCGUCGCCUGAGUGCGCCUCGCGCCAUGGCGCAAAAGGCGAGCGCCAUUUUAAACACAGGUAAUAAC